GUCCAGUUCCAGAGUUUUAAUCCUAAUUUAACUCACUUGAAAAGGAUUAUCAAUUACAGGUGCUAUUAAGUACUCCCCUGCCAAAGGAGGAGGGAUAUUGUGUUUGAUUUCUGUGAGUGGAAACAGAGAGCUGAAAACCCUGAAACAGUAAGGUUGUUGUUUAUGUUGGGAAAUGGACAAGCCAUCCAACCCAGUUAGCUAAUUAUUUUGUUUAGUUUAGUGCUCAGAAGAGCAAGGAUUUUGUUUUAUAUAUUUUGUUACAACCUUUUAUACCUUACUGUGCAUUUAUUUUGGAACCACAAUAAAAAGAGCAAGUCCUUUUACCUCAUCCAGCGUGUGAAGUGUCUUUAAAGCCUGAAAAGACGGUGUGUGGUGACAUUCUGUCAUCAAAUUAAUAUGGUGACCAGGGAUCAUGUGACCAAGCUCAUGUACAGUGGGAUAAGCUUUACCUUUUGAUAUGGUAAUUGAGUAAUUCAAUACCUUUACAAGUCAAGAAAGAGGUAACCACUUCCCCCUAGCUCCAUUCCUCUCUGUUCCUUCUUGGCUGUGCUACUGAGCAGUCCCUUAAGCAGACACGGCCUAAUUUCUAUCAUGGUGAACUGUGAGUGGGAUUUUAUAAGAUGUAGUUGUUAUUGUUAGUUAGGUUGUUGUUGCUGUUGGUGGUAUAGUUAGAUUGUGUGUCAUUAUUUGUAUGCUGUUGUUGUUUUGUCUCUGAAUAAAUAUUUGUUAAAGUAGACGGACCAGAGUUUAUAUGUAUAUGCGUACAUAAUAAUUUAUAGAGUUUGGUAAUACACCACACAAGGUACCAAGGGAAAGGAGUACUUUUGGUCACACUGCGUAUAUGUGUAUGUAUUUCGGUCUGUAUGUAUGUAUGUCAGUAUGUCUGUGUGAAUGUAUGUAUGUAUGUAUGUAUCUAUCUGUGUGUAUGUAUGUAUGUAUGUAUCUGUAUGUCUGUCUGUGUGUGUGUGCAGUGUGCAUAGGAAUUUGAUAAUAUUUUUUUUUAUAGUCCGGCACCCAACAGUGUCUGAGGGACCGUGAACUGGCCCCCUGUUUAAAAAGUUUGAGGACGCCUGAUCUAUAGUAAUACUGGAUAUGGCUUGCUAUGAAAAUAUAGCAGACUUUAUUAUACAGUAUAUAUUAUAUAGUCUCAAUGGGAGAAAUAUAUCCAAGGUAUAUAUACACUUCCUGGCCAAAAAGAAAAGUCGCCACCUGGAUUUAACCAAGCAAAGAGGUGGCUAAUUACUGCAUGGGCGAUUAUGUUUCAGCUGGCAACAAGUUAUUUAACCCCAACUGAUGGCAAUGAAUAGCUUCUCAUUUCAACCAUGUUGAAAGACACAUCUCGUGGUCAUGGAAAAGAUGUUAGUCUGUUUGAGAAGGGUCAAAUCAUUGACAUGCAUCAAGCAGAGAAAACAUCUAAAGAGAUUGCAGAAACUACUAAAAUUAGGUUAAGAACUGACCAACGCAUUAUUAAAAACUGGAAGGAUUGUGGGGAACCACCGUCUUCGAGGAAGAAAUGUGGUCGGAAAAAAAUCCUGAUUGAUCGGCGAUCACUUAAACGUUUGGUGAAAUCAAAUCAUAGAAAAACAGUAGAACUCAGGGCUAUGUUUAGUAGUGAAAGUAAGAGCAUUGCCACACGCAUAAUGCAAAGGGAACUCAAGGGAUUGGGACUGAACAGCUAUGUAGCCUUAAGAAAACCACUAAUCAGUGAGGCUAAUUGGAACAAAAGGCUUCAAUUUGCUAGGUAGCAUAAAUAUUGGACUCUGGAGCAAUGGAAGAAGGUCAUGUGGUCUGAUGAGUCUAGAUUCACCCUGUUCCAGAGUGAUGGGCGCAUCAGGGUAAGAAGAGAGGCAGAUGAAGUAAUACACCCAUCAUGCCUAGUGCCUACUGUACAAGCCUGUAGGGUCAGUGCUGUGAUCUGGGGUUGCUGCAGGUUGUCAGGUCUAGGUUCAGCAACAUUAUGUUCCCAAAGAAUGAGGUCAGCUGACUACCUGAAUAUACAAAAUGAUCAGGUUAUUCAUUCAAUUGAUUUUUUUCUUCUCUGAUGGCACAUGCAUAUUCCAAGAUGACAAUGCCAGGAUUCAUCUGGCUCAAAUUGUGAAAGAGUGGUUCAAAGAGCAAGAGACAUAAUCCAGAGUCCAGACCUUAACCUCAUUGAGAAUCUUUGGGAUGUGUUGCAGAAGGCUUUGCACAGUGGUCCGACUCUCCCAUCAUCAAUACUAGAUCUUGGUGUAAAAAAACACAGCACCCCCCCAAUGAGUUCCAAUGCAAAGAAAGAGGCUACACCUUAUAUCCUGCCAGACCAUGUGUCUGGAACAUACCCCUUCAAAUAUAGCUGAUAUAUCAGGUGUAUAAAGGCAAACCUUCCUUCAGUAGCAUACCGGAUCUUUCACUUGCUACACCACUUAGAGCCCUAACCUAUUGUAUAACAAACCAGAAAAAAAAAGGAAAAGGUGGCGCUAAAAUUCAAAUACCUAAAAAAUACAGUUCGGUAUUAUUAAAAUGCUAUAGUCCAAUCUCAAAAAUACUUUUCAAAUGCCGCCACUCCCGUCUAUUGCUUAAAUAUAACUUACACCGGAACAUAAGACCUUUUCGUGAAAGAUAGAGGAAGGGAAAAUAAAUAAGAUUUAAAUAAUAUAUUGAUAUAUAUAAUUAAUACAAUGUUAAACAAAAAUCUGCGUGUAUGUAUUUCAGUCUGUAUGUAUGUAUGUCUUUGGGAUGUGUUGCAGAAGGCUUUGCGCAGUGGUCCGACUCUCCCAUCAUCAAUACUAGAUCUUGGUGUAGAAUACAUAGAAUACAAUAAUCUUUCCCCUUCACUUAGGAGAUAAUUGAAUCAAGUAUUAUACUCAACUCAAUUAUCUCCAAACACAAAAGUGCCUUAAACCCCAUUUGAACCCCACAAAAGUCAUAUCCCCUGAUAAUUUUUCCCCACCAUAACCUAAUUGGAUUUUGAGAUAUAUAGAUAUAUAUAUAUAUAUAUAUAUAUAUAUAUUGAACAUGUUGUUUACUGAAAACAAACAACUGUAUUGUUACGGAAGUUAUCAAUUAAGAAAUUCUUCCUUGAAAAAGACAUGGCAAAACAAGAAACAGAUUUGGAUUAUACUCACACUGGGCUACACCCAACCUCCACUUUUUAUCCACAACACAUGAAAAAUGACUCCAUUCGAGUAUUUGAAAAAAUGGUCGAGAAAGACUUUAGGAGCAAAAUCACCAAGAAAAUCACGAAAGAUAAUUUGACCAGAAAAGAAAGGAAUGCACUCAAACAACUCAUGAGAUCUGAAGACAUCACAAUAAAAGCAGCGGAUAAAGGUGGUGGAUUGGUUAUUCUCAAUACCAGCGAUUAUGGGGAGGAAAAUCAGAGAUUAUUAGGAGACACUAAUACGUAUCUGCAAUUGAAAGGUGAUCCCACUAUCCAAUAUCAAGACGAACUUAAGGAAAUACUGAAUUACGGAAAGGAUAGAGGGAUUUUAAAUGAAAGAGAAUACAAAUAUCUGUAUGUCCAAUACCCAAGGAUACCGGUAUUCUACCAUCUACCAAAAAUACAUAAGAGACUGGUGAAACCUCCUGGAAGGCCAAUCGUAUCAGGAAUUGGAUCCCUCACCUCAAACCUUUCUGAAUACGUUGACCAAUAUUUGCAACGUUUGGUCUCCUGUUUAAAAUCCUACCUUCCACUCAAGUUUUAAACAUUUUAUCUGAUUUUAAGUGGGAAGAUGAGAUGAUUUUAGUCACUGCUGAUGUUACCUCUCUCUAUACAGUAAUUGAACACCUCCAAGGAUGUGAGGCCACACAAUUCUCCCUAGCAACAUAUUCCGAUUUAAAAAAUGACCAAAUUGAUUUCCUCAUUCAGUGUAUCGUUUUUAUUCUCACACAUAAUUAUUUUUGGUGUGAUGACUUAUUUUAUCUACAGAUUGAAGGCACAGCCAUGGGGACACGAUUUGCGCCAAGUUACGCUAAUUUAUUUAUGGGCAAAUGGGAAGAAGAAUAUAUAUGGACCCAUUGCCCAUUUGGCGCAAAUCUGUCCCUGUGGCUCAGAUAUAUCGACGAUUGCUUCUUUAUAUGGAAAGGAGACCUUGGAUCCUUAGAGAGUUUUAAAACUUAUCUUAACAACAACCCAUAUCAUCUGAACUUCACUUUUAACCACUCUAAAGAACACAUUGAAUUUUUAGAUCUGGAUAUCUAUAUCAAAGAGGGACAAAUCAACACCAAGACUUUUAAGAAGAAUGUGGACUGUAAUAGUUUUAUUCCUUUUAACAGUCAUCACAAGUCAACAUGGUUAAGAAACAUACCUCAGAACCAGUUCAGGAGGGUAAGACGUAACUGCUCGAAUAAUGAAGUGUGUAAGUCACAAAUGGAAGAAAUGAAGCAGAGAUUCCUGAAAAAGGGUUAUCCCCCAACGCUAUUAGAAGAAUCUAUGGAUAUAGCACUUACCACCCCAAGAGAGGAUACCUUAUGCAAUAAACCCAGCACCACAGAAGUAUCCAAUUCAGCACCCACCUUUAUCACUAAAUAUAAUCAUCAAUUUCAUACAAUACAGAAGACACUUAGGAAGCACUGGGGGAUCCUUAAGAAUGAUCCAACGUUAUCUAAAUUCCUCGACAAUCAACCUCAGAUUAUUUUUACUAGGGCACCCAACCUGCAACUUAUGCUGGCACCGACCACUAAACCUGAAAGUGCUGAUUUGGAUCAAGGUACCAUCAGUGGCUUCACAAGAUGCAAGAAGUGUCUAGCAUGUAGAAAUAAUCCAUCAUUAGAAGACACAACCACUGGAUUUAAAUCCCACACCACUCAAGAGGAAUAUGAUAUCAAGACCAACAUGGACUGUACUACAUCAGGAGUUAUCUAUUUAAUAACAUGUCCAUGCCCACAACAAUAUAUUGGACGUACAAAAAGACCCCUCAAAAUACGUAUUGCUGAACACAUUAGAAAUAUUAAGAAGGGACUUCCAACGCAUAAUCUUUCCAAGCACUUUAAAGAGAUACAUGGGGGAGACCCACAGGACUUGCAUUUAUGCCUAUUGAGAAAGUGAAUACCCACUGGAGAGGAGGCAGCAUUGAUAAGGCUCUAGAUCAGACAGAAGCGAAGUGGAUUUUUAAGUUAGGGACUUUGGUCCCUAAGGGACUUAAUGUAGAUUUUGAGCUUAAUGCUUUCCUAUAAUAUAUCUUUAUUAUUUUUUUUUUUUUAUUUAUUUUUUUUCACCUUUAUUUAUAGUUACAGACUACCACCAGGGAUUAUUCAUUUAUUUAUUUAUUAUCUAUUUUGUAUAUAUUAACUAUUAUUUUUUCUCCUGUUUUCUCCUAGAAGGAUGGAUUGACACUAUACCUAUAUGGUACCUAUCUAGUAUUGGUUAUCCAUAUGUAGUCAAUAUACUAUUAUGAUUUUAUCCAUCUUCAUGUAUAUAUACCAAUUUAUGUCCAGCAUUUCAUUAUCUCUAAUUGAUUCAUUAAAUAUGUUCCUUCCAUUUGGAACAUUCAUAUAUUGCUUUUAUGUAUUUUUACAUUUACCGGUCUUAUGUAUCUGUCUACAUUUUAUGAGACUUUAUAAAUAUUGUUUUUACCCUAGUGGCAAUGAUUUGCAUUUUAUGUAUAUGUAUGUAUCAUUUUAUGCAGGUACAAAUACUGUGUUUAUUAGUAUAGAAUAUAUUGGUUUUAACACCUAAAUGUGAUUGAUAAUUAGGCAAUGUUAUGUCUAUUAUGUCUAUUAUGUCUCUGAUGAAGUAGGGCCCAUUCCCUACGAAACGCGUAAGACAGGCAUUCCAGCAACACACGGGAUCAGACGCAUGUACCAGCAGUACCACUAAUCUGCACACGCAGGACCUGUUUGGAAAGUACCGCCACCGGAGGCAUCUGUCCUGCACGUCCCCUGAAGUGAGGCUCCUGCUCGGGACGUGCUCACAGACACAAGCCAUCCUCACCGGCAGCUGUAUAUUGAAUCAUCACAAUCCAUAUCCAUCCUUAACAAUCUGAAGGUCCUUGCUGUUAUUUUUCAAUGCUUCAGUCUGGUAAUGCAUUUCUGAAUCUAGUGUGACCUGUAUUUUUAUAUUUAACUUUUUCCAAAGUUAUUUUAUUAUAUUCAAUAAACUGGCAUUUUUUUCUUAUAUGAAGUGAUCCAGUUUUAUGCUUCAGUUUUCCAGCGAUAUAUUGUUUUCAUUUUUAUUGCCUAAAGCUAACAGUUCCCUGUACUGUAUAGCUUAUUUUUUACUUCUAUCUUUUACUAAGUAUAUUAUUUGCAACAGGUAUCAUUUAUCCCUCAUGUUGUUUGGGAUAUAGACACCAGUUUCAUACAUAUUUUUUGGUCAUCCAGCAGAGAAUUUGGUCUCUCAUCUUUCCCCUUUUUGCAUUUUUGUAUUUUAUUUAUAUAUAUAUAUAUAUACCUUUUUUUUUAAUUUUAUUAUUUUUUUUUUUACCCCCCUUAUAUAGCACUGCUUUGCAUGUUUGCACACUCUUAAAGGACAUUUAAAGGUAUAGCAGCAUUCUCUUUGUAUUCUUGCACAUUUAAAGGGAUAUCCCGUUUAUUUGAGAUCUCCACUCAUAGCACUUUUACUCACAUUUUUGCACAUUUAUAGGGAUACUUUGUCCAUUCCAGAUUUAAAGGCAUAGUACCAUAUAUAUAUUUUUAUAUUUAUAUAUUUCUUUUUUUUUUUUAUAUUUAUCUCUAUGUAUUAGUAUUUUAGCCAUUAGUCACCUAGCCAGCUCCUGGUAUUCCCACUCUUCUAGAGAGUUCUUUUCCCUUGUUCUAUAUAGGUUUUUAGUGAAUCCCUAUCAUUACCAGUUUUCGAGCAGCUUAGUGCUAGUCUGUCUCCCUCUCUCCUGUGUGGUAUAUUAGGUACACCAGAACUGUUCAACUGUAUUGUUAUGACUCAACUUUGACUUGUAAUUGAAUUUUUAACUAUCCACUGAGCUACAGAAGAUGCGGUUUUGAUAACUCAAUACUGAAUAAUGCUGGCUGUUAUGAAUGCUGGUAUAUCAGAUAACCAGUCAUAUUCGGUUCCUCCCAAACUGCCAAGCAGGGCUGGCCUUAGGUGUUCCAGCGCCCUGUGCGAGCUAAUCUUGUGGCGCCCCCCCCCCCCACCUAAACAUACACAAAGAGGAAAACAGUCUUUGUAACAAACUGUUUUUUAAUUACAGAUAAUUUAAGUGCAAACAAGUACAAUAAUAAAUAACUGGAUUGACUGGUAACAAUAAUGUAUAUUAAAUAUAUUAAAUACACAGAACUCUCCACGAUACUAUAGACCUAUCAGGUCCACUCCGACACCCACCCCGCACAACAUUACAUGAGAACCCGGGGGACACUCUAGCUACCUGCUCCCCUCAGGGAUCUACACGUGAACACAAAUAGCCCUCAUUACCUACCGAUUAGCACUAUUCCCCUAUACCAAACACACAAAAGGGCGCAAUAUUCUUAAGCCACGCAAUUGUAUGUAACUGCCUCCGCUUAGACCGCACCAGCCGAAGUGGCGAUGCUUAAUAUCGACAUUACACAAACUAACAAGUUAAUGAUAUGGAAGGAGAGCACACAGCGAUCCCCCACAGCUAGGUCAGGCACUGAAUAGUCACUAAGCCCCCUCGGCAUAUGCCCUGACCAACCUCAUAAUGCCGAUUAACCCCCCCCCUACGUAUAAAGUGGGUGCAGGGUUGGUCGGCAACCUAUUGUACAUGCUCCACCAAUUAUGAUCAGGUUUAUUUCUGUUGAUAAUGUUUGUCUUUGUUAGAAACAUAGCCGACCGAACCUGUAUUGCCUUUCUGCUCCAUAAGCAUAGUUGAUAGGCUCACAGGAACUAUACCGGCUGCUCAUGAGGUUAUCUUGUUAUCUAAUAUAAAAAUGCAUGGUGUUGGUGUUCCAAAAUAUUUUUUGAUUACUCCAGCACUCUUCUGGUCCUCCAAAUCCAUAAGGGCCCUUCGUUUUCGAUUCUGAGCACCUGACAGUUUUUUGGGACCCAUAAUGCUGCUACACGAUACAAUAAAAAAAUAUAUAUUUAAAAGAGAGGCCCUUUUAAGUAUAGAUACAAAAGAAAUGCAAGAUUCGCAGCAGCAGUGUACAGAUAAUAUGAAUUUCCUAAAUGUAGUAUGCCAACAUUUGUGCCAAAUAAAGUAUAGAUAAAUAAAUAAGCAUUGCAGGUAUUCAUCAAAUGAAUAAGACAUCCAAACCUUGUAUUUCCAGGUAUAGAUUAAAUAACAUAACACAUGGAAACAUAACAUUACAUGUGUAGAACAACUAAACAUAAAAAUCACAACAUAAAAAUCACAUGCUAACACAGUAGUGAAGAUAUAGAUCAACUAUAGAUCAGCUUCAAUGUCACUGUCGGGGGUCUUUGCACAUUUGGCAAAUUCCCAGACAGUGACAGUGCCACUUUAAUAGUAUAAUCCACAAAGUCAGUUUAUGUAUUGUAGAAACAAGAGCAAUGUUGUCAGUACACUAUAUUUAACCAUUUUACAACACUAAGCAUGUAUAGCCUCUCCCUCAUUUCUUAAACCCACGUCUUUGUUUGGCCCCCUCUAGACAAUUUCAGGCACACAAUAUGCCGCCUUCACCCCCUUCACCAAAACCCUUGGCCACUUCUUCAAUAAAACCCCUGCCCCCUUCAUCAGACCCUGCCCCCCUUCAUCAGAUACUGCCUCUAUUCAUCAGACCCUGUACCCUUCAUCAAUCCCCAGGCUGCACCCCUUCAUCAACCCUUUGCACCCCUUAAUCAGACCCUGCCUCCCUUAAUCAAACCCCUGCCCCCCUUAAUCAUAACCUGGCAUCCAUGCCCAGUCCCUUGCCCCCCUUAAUUAGACCCAGUGUCACCCAUAGCCAGUCCCAGUCCCCUGUCCCCCUUAAUUAGACCCAGUGUCACCCAUAGCCAGUCCCAGUCCCCUGUCCCCCUUAAUUAGACCCAGUGUCACCAUAGCCAGUCCCAGUCCCCUGUCCCCCUUAAUUAGACCCAGUGUCACCCAUAGCCAGUCCCAGUCCAUUGCCCCCUUAAUUAGACCCAGUGUCACCCAUAGCCAGUCCCAGUCCCCUGUCCCCCUUAAUUAGACCCAGUGUCACCCAUAGCCAGUCCCAGUCCCCUGCCCCCUUAAUUAGACCCAGUGUCACCCAUAGCCAGUCCCAGUCCCCUGCCCCCUUAAUUAGACCCAGUGUCACCCAUAGCCAGUCCCAGUCCCCUGCCCCCCUUAAUUAGACCCAAUGUCACCCAUAGCCAGUCCCAGUCCCCUGCCCCCCUUAAUUAGACCCAGUGUCACCCAUAGCCAGUCCCAGUCCCCUGCCCCCCUUAAUUAGACCCAGUGUCACCCAUAGCCAGUCCCAGUCCCCUGCCCCCCUUAAUUAGACCCAGUGUCACCCAUAGCCAGUCCCAGUCCCCUGCCCCCCUUAAUUAGACCCAGUGUCACCCAUAGCCAGUCCCAGUCCCCUGCCCCCCUUAAUUAGACCCAUGGUCACCCUUACCAAGUCCCCUGCCCCCCUUAAUUCGACCCUGUAUUUUAUGAAAAGAUUUUUGGAUUAAAAAUAAAAAAAUAAGAACAGGUACUUACUUUGAAGUCUGCUGCUUCCUCCCUGUCUGCAGAGCACCGGCCGCCGCCCUCACACAUUGAGCGGAUCCUUCCGCGGCUCUCUGUGAUGGCGCAGCACUUGCACGCUGCGCCCCCAAGCUCCUCCUCCACGCUCCGGAAACCGCAGUUCAGCUCACAGACAAUCUCGGGCCGGCCAGUGACAGAGCGACUGCGAGCUGUGUCGGCCGCCCGGCGCCCCUGUUGCCAUGGCACCCUGUGCGGCCGCACAGCUCGCACACCCCAAAGGCCGGCCCUGCUGCCAAGAGCUGAGUGAUUAUAGCUUGCAGUUCGGGUAUCAAGAUGAAUACUCUCCAGCUAGAAUGCAGCAUAGAAGAAGUCUUCCCCAGCAGUCAAUCAUAUACCCAAACAUCAGGCCGGCUUUUUAUGGAAGUACCCAGGCACGGGGUUUACAAUAACAUAUUCCAGGGGCAUUCCCCACUGGACCUGAGAGGGCACAGGGACAAAUUACAUACUGUAGUUACAUUGGCUCUCAGGUCCAGGACAUUCCCGCAUAGAAUACAAUAAUGCUUCCCCUUCAUUUAGGAGAUAAUUGAGUCAAGUAUUAUACUCAACUCAAUUAUCUUCAAACACAAAAAACACAUUUUCACAAAACCCCAAAAGUGCCUUAAACCCCAUUUGAACCCCACAAAAGUCAUCCCCUGAUAGCCCCGAUCUGGAGGACCAACAUAUCCAAAAAUCACCCACAUCAGUUCGGGGUUUAGGAGUUCCAUGGAAGUCAUAAUUUGACCGACCGCACACAAGGCUUCUGCCCAGAUAGCGUUCCAUGAAAUCAGGCUGUGUGGUCGGUCUCUUUCGGGAAGUCCAAAAACCGAACAAAUCCACAAACUGUUUCCCUGGCUUAUAGGUAGCGUUUGUUCCCCUAGUUUGUGGGAACAAACCUACCGAACAGUGCUCUCCUGGCUGGUCGGUGAACAGAAGCAGGCGUUUGCGAAGUUUGACCGGCGUUCGGGAAGUCGAAUGUCCAAUUUUAGUUCCAGACACUCGACAACCAAGUCCCGCUGCAUCUGUUCGUGCGACAAAAUGGCCACAAAGAGAGAGCACUUAAUUCACCGUUUCCUUUGAAGUUAAUGAGCCAGGGGGGUGGUCGUUGUUCGGUAGUUUCAACUAACGAACGGGGAAAAUUCAAAAUAUCGAACAAACAGGGUAGUUUCUUCACACUGGCUUUUAAAGUUGAGAUUUGAAGGGGAGAAAGAAGGGGAAUAGAGAGAUAGUAGAUGGGGAGAGACAGACACAGGGAAAGGGGGGAGAAAGAGACAGAGGGGAAGAGAGAGACACAAGGGGAGGGGGAGAAAGAGGCAGAGGGGGAAGAGAGAGACUGGGAAGGCAUGGACAGAGGAGCAGUGAGGGGGAGAAAUAAACAUAUAGAGGAACUGGGGGGGGAGACAGAAAGGCACACAGAGGGGCUGUAUAUAUCACUGGUGGAUCCAGGGGGCAACUGGCAAUUGCCCCCCUCCCCCCCAGUGCAGGGCUGGCACUGUCCAAGCGCCAUAUGCUUUCACGGACCGGAGGGGAGAUUAGAAAUCUCCCAACCCGUUCCGCAGGCACCAUGACUACUUACUCUGGGAGCGGGUCCCGGCACUCCUGGCACCAUAACCACUAUACAGAGCAGUAGUGGUUAUUGUGCAUGGAUUAUUUCUUUAAAUAAUCUAUAAGUGCCCCUCCCGAGAUCAAGCUCUGGAUCCGCCACUGGUAUAUAUAUAUCAUGUAUAUUAAUGUGUGUGUAUACUUUUUUAUAUAUAUAUAUAUAUAUAUAUAUACCUAUUAUAUUUACACAUAUAUAUCAAUGUACAUUUAUAUAUGCAUAAUACACAGAGAAAUGUCAUUAAUAUGUACCAUAUGUAAUGAGCAGAUAUUGGCCCAGUCUUUUUGCUAGGUGCAUACUCCAGCACAAUAACAUGUUUAAAGUGAAGAGCACACCCACAGGACUUCAAAAUAAACAAGAUAACGUAAUUUUUUACAGUUGUGCCCUACAUACAUUCACCAUUUCAGUCCCAUUACCAAGCUUUCCUUAAUAUGUCAUGGUAGUUGGACUGAAACAUUGGUUAUAUGCAAAGGCACGUCUGCUUAAAAUAAAUCUGCACUCUUGUUUUUUUUUCUUACGCCUAUAUGUGGUAUUUUUCACGUUGGAGUAAUAAUUUUUAAUUUUAAGUUAUCUUUUCUAACUCUGUAUCUGCACACUAUGCUGGCGCGACGCAUUAUGGGGCUGGUAAAUAAUUUUUUUCCGGCCCUGACUAACGUGCAAUAUGGUUGCAUUUUCUGUAGCAAGAGGCAGGCUACAAACAACAGAAAAUAGGCAGAAGUAGAAAGGGAAGUUUAGGGCUAACAUAAAGAGUGAUCAGAGUAAACAAGGUUUAUAAUAUUCAGUAUGCUGGAACAUAGGAAAAUUAAAAGAAAGCCUGUGAUUUUAUAAAGGGAAAAAGAAGACUAUAAGGGCCAAUAGCUUUUAAUUACCAUACUGUUUCUAAAAUUUAAAAAAAGCAUGCAGAGAUUGCCACUGAUUCAAAAUUAGAAUGUCAUUGUUACCACCAAUCAGCUGUAUGCUCAGUUAUAUUUAGGUUUUAUCCAAAGUGCUUAUUUAUUUUAGAGUUAGACAAAUGAUCGCAGCUUCUGAUGAGCCCAAUAUGUUCUGCAUUACAUGGGCUUUGUGUGACCAGGCAAAAAUACAGUGCAGUUACACAUGUGCGUGCAGCUACUGUUUAACUACUUGCUGAGUCCAGUGCCUGGGGGUGUCUAGAGCGAAUUCCCCAUGCAGUUCCAGGACCCCAGUCAAGCCACGGUGACUGAGGGCUAGAGUGCUGAGGUUUGCCCCCUGUUCCAGCUAGGAAGCGGUCCUUGGUGGAGGUACCCAGCAAAAAUACAGUGCAGUUACAUAUGUGCGUGCAGCUACUGUUUAACUACUUGCUUCCUCCAGAACUAAUUUAUUAGGAAAAAUAUAUGGAUCUAGAGUCAGUUUCCUAUGCUUUAUAGGUUCCAUGUCCCACUUAAUAAAUAAAUUACUAGUGCAAAGCAGGCCAAAUCUACUGUAAAUAUAGACCACUGCAAUAACCUUCAAUGACAACCUAUUGGUUGUAUUUUUUUCUUUAUGCUUCCUAACGCAUUUUGGUACCUGACUUGUAUAUUUAUGUGACUAUUGUUAGAAAUGACUAAUUGGGUUUGAUUAGCUUCAUCAUUAAUAUUCUGUCCAUAAUUUAACAUGCUUCAAUAAAAUACCCUAAAGUUGUAUAGUGAUUAGAUUUCAGGAAUAUGUGUUUUGCAAUUAAGUUCCUCUUGAUUUUGAUAUGCAGAUUAAGAAAUGGUGGUCUCAUUUAAAGAGAAAAAAAAUUGCCCUUAUUAACUCAGCAGCAUACUCUGAAGAUUAGGCAAGAAAGCCUACAUUCGCUUUCUGUAUGUGCUAGCUAAAUGUAUUUCAAUCAAGUCUAUGUGGGCAAAUCAGAUGUGAUUAGUUUAAGUUCACAGUCAUCCUAUCUAAAUGAAUAAUGUGUCACCUAACAGUGCAAAAAUGUGAUUAAUAGUUUAUCAGUUAAUUAAAAAUGAUGUUUCUCUUUUUUAUUAUUUUUUUAGAGGAAUGCAAUGAAGGUAUUAUACGUGUAAAUCAUAAAUGCUAAUUAUUUUUCACCUAAUUCGGUUCUUUAUUUUCCAUUCUGAAUCCUCGAAAUUGGAAUUUAUAUCUCCUUGUGAUUUGAUUUAUGGUGUUAAGACAGAUUAGUUAAUGUUUCUCAGAAAAUGUUUGGAGCUUUACUUAAAAAAUAAUAAAAGCAAAAAUAGAUCUUAAUUUUCUUGAUUCACGGAGAAAGAGCGCACGUAGCUGUUUUAGUUAAACAAUUCAGUUCCUAUUUAUAUGACUAUAAUAAAAAAUAAAAAAAAAAACAAGAUAGAACAAGAUUAGAUAGAUAUAGUGUGACAAACUCCCCUUUCCAAUUGAGUUUGCCAAGAGCUCCUGGAGGAGCCUGCUUGCCAGCCACCUGCCCACAGACUACGGACCCUGUAAAAUGUAAUAUAAAAAAGUCUCUAUUCGUGUAUUUGGAUUAACCGGAGACCACCCUGGAGCUUGUUAAGCCUAAUUGCUACUUUGUAGCAAUUUCCACCGCAGUGCUCUAAAUGUUCGUCUGGGUGGCCACAUUGCCUAUGGACGACCACGGGGUGGCGGCCAUCUUGUUCGCAUGAACGCAGGCAGCGGUGUUUGGUCGUCGAGUUCAUGCCCCUUGCAUGGGGACCUGCAUAUUAGGCCAGUUGUGGCUGCCAAUAAACAUAUUCCAGCUUGUACUCCCAGAACUAUGUGUUGUCUGGUUACUGGGAGGGGAAAGGGCUACUCUUUAAUCACUGUUCCAGUGUGGAGGAUUCAACGGGGAAAGUCCGUGUAAGGACUAGAGCUCCCAGGACUGAAUGUCUUCCAGUGCCUGGGGGUGUCUAGAGUGAAUUCCCCAUUCGGCUCCAGGAGGGAGCGGUUCCAGGACCCCAGUCAAGCCACGGUGACUGAGGGCUAGAGUGCUGAGGUUUGUCCCCUGUUCCAGCUAGGAAGCGGUCCUUGGUGGAGGUACCCAGCCAGGGGUACAGAGAGCUCCGUUACAGAUAAAUGUGACUGAACUAAGUCAAAUUUGUCUUGUUGAAUGUAUUUAUAUAUGUCUUGUCCACCCUUUGCACAGCACUGUGGAAUAUGUUAGCACUAAAUAACGAUAAUAGAAAUAAUGAUAGAACAAUACAGGGGCAAUAUUCUAGAAAGGGUAAAGGUGAGCUACUGAUCUCAGUCACUGUAUUUCUGAGUGAAGGUCCAUUAUGGAUUUUUACUUGCCUUGGAGAAGAUAAUAAUAAUAAUUCUUCAUUUGAAACACAGAAUCAGUCACACCACUAUGUAGAAAUUAUACUUUAUUCAUCCUUUUAUGUAAAUAACAAUCCUUUUAUAAGAUAACCCACAGUGUCGUUUUGUUUGAUGCCAGGCCCGAUGAACUCAAAUGCAGUGACACUAGGUUAAGGAUCUCGAUUUGAAUCCCUGUUAACCUUACAUUUUGCAAAUAUAUGUUAAUUCAUAUAUGUUAAUGCUGCUUAGCUAAUAAUAGUAGGCUCUCUUUCUAAUAAAGACGUGAAACUCAGUUGUAGUUUUGUAUGCAAGCACUUUCCCACAAAGGACAACAUAUAGUACCCUAGCAUGGUAGUUAUGAUUGCAGAAUAGAUCAUAUUAUUCCAAUCUAUAUCCACAGGACUGAGUUUACAAGCUGCAAGGAACACAUUACCACCAGAAAGCCAGGAUGAAUGCAAGCUAGGAAAGCCAUCCUACAUGUUUAAAGGGACACUCAAGAAGAAUGUGUCAUUUUAUUUUACUUUUUAAUUUAAAAAAUGUACAGAAUUCAAUAGAAAUUGUCACUUUUCUAAAUUAGUCUUGUUAGACCCCAUUGGCUGUCAAACAGACAAUAGGCAAUGUUACUUUCUGGUUGUUAAGCUCAGUGGAGCAAGACUCAAGAGGCAGCAAUUGCCCAAAUCACCUGCCUUGCAAAGAUUUCUCAUUGAGCUGAAUUGGGAAGUCUGUGAUUGGACAGUCACAGAAAGUCUGUGCUUUAGAAUGGGAGGGCUUGCCAAUGCUGCAGACAAGAGAUUUGCAGCUUUUGCAAGCUGUUUUUGGAUAUAACCCUAAUGUAAAAAUGCUUAAUUAAAUGCAUACAUAUUUUCAUUGGCGGUAUGUUUACUAAACAGUGAAAUUGUAUUUCUUUAAUUUGGAUAGUGGAGUGUCCCUGUACACAGUUUAGUAACAAUGUUACCACUGAAAGCUAGCUCACUUUGCCCAAUACAGACUCUGGGCAGAUCUACAUCUUAUAAGAUGAGAUAUAUAUAUAUAUAUCUAUAUAUAUAUAUAUAUAUAUUUAUACACACGCACACAUUAUAUAUAUAUAUAUAUAUAUAUAUAUAUAUAUAUAUAUAUAUAUAUAUAUACACACACACACGCACACUCAAUAUAUUUAGGGUUAGUUAGAAAUGAAACAGAUCUGGCCGAAACAACUAAGAUUUUAACUGAUUGAAGGCCAGCCUGCUAAUGAUGAAAUAUAUAUGACCAGUGAAUUAAACACAAUCUUCGUUCAGGUAACCAUAUUUUUUAAUGAACAGUCCAUUUCACAAAUGGCAAUAUGGUAACCAUAAACCGUUUAUCAACAAGUUUGUAAAUAGACAUAUGUUCUAUUACUCUAUUCAUCAAAUUGCUCUACUCAAUACCAUGGAAUAAUAAGAAUAUAGAAACAUAGAAUGUGACGGCAGAUAAGAACCAUUCAGCCCAUCUAGUCUGCCCAAUUUUCUAAAUACUUUUAUUAGUCCCUGGCCUUAUUUUAUAGUUAGGGUAGCCUUAUGCCUAUCCCACGCAUGCUUAAACUCCUUUACUGUAUUAACCUCUACCAUUUCAGCUGGAAGGCUAUUCCAUGCAUCCACUACCCUCUCAGCAAAAGUAAUACUUCCUGUUAUUAUUUUUAAACCUCUGCCCCUCUAAUUUAAGACUAUGUCCUCUUGUUGUGGUAAUAUAAUGCUCUAUUACCAAAUUAUGCAUUAUGUUUUAUCUAUAUACAGUAUGUGUUAGCUGGGGCAAAAUUUAAUAUUAAUGUUGUAACGGACCGUUUUGCCCAAAAGAGGUUAAAAACCGUUUAGGUGAUAUUCCCCCUUUUCAGCUGCACACAGGGCCAGAUUAAGAGCCCAGUGGGCCUGGUGCUGACAAUUAUGACGGGCCUAAUUACAGAAUCAUAUCGACCAAAAACAGUAAAACACUCCCAAGCAUCAUGUAUCUGAUGGAGAUGGUUCUGGAGAGAAAGAAAACAGCAGCUAUAAGAAAGCACAUACCCUAGGCUAAUCUCUCACUAAUUUAUGUUUUCAUCUUUCAAGUAAAUCCAUAACCCCUAACAGCAGUGUCCAGUCAAGUAGGAAGUCAAUGGGCAUGGUAAAAGGGUGUGCCACUGACACAAAUCACAUAACCUGCCAAAAGGGGCGAACAUGCCCAAAAAGAGGACAUGUCUGCUCAAAAAAUUAGAAGACCAGCCUGGCAUGUCAGGCUGCCUGCCAAUCAUGCAGCUGGCCAACUAAGGGCAUACUAUGCAGACAGCACCCUGAGCUUGGCAUAAAUGCAUCUAAUGAUGCGCUCACUCAACGCUUUCUAAGGACUGUCCCCUAGCACUCGCUGGUCCACUUGUCUCCUUACCUUCUUACUAGCAGGCAGAAGCUCCUGGUAUAUGGUCCGGGACAGAGAAAAGCUGUAUGUAGUGAGUGUAGAAGAAAGGGAACAUGCCACCGUGUUAGAGAGACCAAAGUCAGCAUUACCACAAGCAUGAAUUCAUGACCCUAUAGUGUUAACACCACCAUCUAGCCCCCCUGGGCCCCUCAUGCCUCCAUAAAUAUAGCAAAAUCCUACUAUAUUCAAGCCUGAAGCUGUAACUCUGCAUGCUGUUAGACUCAUAAAAACAAGCAGUCUGCUGACAUCAUUAGAAGUGGUGGCCUGAUCCAAUCACAGUGCUUCCCCAUAGGAUUGGCUGAGACUGACAAAGAGGCAGAUCAGGGUCAGAGCCAGCAUGAUUCAAACACAGCCCUGGCCAAUCAGCAUCUCCUUAUAUAGAUGAAUUUAAUUAAUGAAUCUCUAUGAGGAAAGUUCAGUGUCUACAUGCAGAGGGAGGAGACACUGAAUGUUUGGAUGCAUUUUAGGCAGCCAUGACCCAGGAAGGAUCUCUAACAGUCACCUAAGGAGUGGCCAGUGAAGUUAUCACUAGGAUGUAAUGUAAACACAGGAUUUUCUCUGAAAAGACCAUGCUUACAGCAAACAGCCUGAUGGUAAUGAUUCUACUCACCAGAACAAAUUCAAUAAGCUGUAGUUGUUCUGGUGACUAUAGUGUCCCUUUAACUAUAUUCAUUGUCAGCUAGUCCACACAAGUUUACAUCCCUCUUAAGUUUCCAUAUUAAGUAAGAGUAUGUGAAAAGUAGUUAGGGUUGCCACCUUUCUUGGAAAAACAAUUUGCAUAAUUAAAUAUGUAUGGGUGACAUCACAUGAUGUAAAUCACAAGGAGUGACAUAAGAGAAAAUGCUGUAAAAUCACCAAAAAACUAUUUAGUUUAAAUCUGCUGAAAAGAUGGAUUCCUCCCAGUGCCCCCAUAUGUCGAUUACUCCAGUCCUCAGUGUUCCUAUAUAUCAGUGUCUCAGUGCCCCAUGUCUCCCAGUGUCCCAAGUGUCGUGUCCCCAGGCCUCCUUUUUUGCCUUCCCUCUGUAUCAGUGUCUCAAUGCCCUAUGUCUCCCUGUGUCCCCAUGUAUCCCGGGGUCCCCAUGUCACUAGGACACUAGGAAGACGGGGAGACCUGGGGACACGGGGAGACCUAGAGACACGGAGACACCAGUGACACUGGGAGACUAGGGGACUCUGGCUGGGACACAUGGGGACAAUGGGAAAAUAGGGGACACUUGAAGACAUGGGGACACAGACACCAGGGACAAAGAUACUAGAGACACUGGCUGGGGGACAUGGGGACAUUGAGACAUGGGGGCACUGGGAGACAUGGGGACACAGACACCAGGGCCACAGACACUAAGGACACUAGCUUGGUGACAUUGUGACACUUGAGGCACUGAGAGACAUGGAGGCACUAGGAGACAUGGGGACAGUGAGACACUGGCAGAUUGGGGGCACUGGGAGACUAGGGGUCACUGGAAGACUAGAGGCACUGAGACACCAGGAACACUGGCUGGGAGACAUGGGGACACUGUUGCAUAGUAAUUUCCAUUUAUACUGAGAAAAAUACCAGCAUUUAUAUUGCCAGUAUCACUGCAAUAUUGGCACCAGCCAGGCAGCCUCAAAUACUGGCUGUGCCAAUAAAAUAAAAGCCAGGUGGAAUCCCUAAGAGUAGUGUGUGAAAAAAAUGUAAAAAAAAAAAAAUUUUUUAAAUCAAUGGGCCUAUUCCAUGGGCCUGGGCCUGGAGCUGCAGCUCCAUCAGCCCCUAUGUUAAUCCGGCCCUGGCUGCACAGACAGCUACUGCAAGCACCAAUCUCCUGAACUGCAAACCCACGAAUUCACCAACUCCCAAACUGGAGACACACGAAUAGCUGCUAGCAGACGAACAGGAAAAGCCCCCAAACGGCUUACACUCCUGGCAAUCAGUCUCUAACAGCAUCCAGUAAAUCCUCCCCCCCAAUAAUGAGACGACACUUCACUUUGAGGGUUAAGCAGGAACUGAUUUACUGGGGCUAACUGCCCGGCUUUUAUGCAGGUCUCCCACCUGGUGGACACUCCCCUAGGGGACCAAAUGGGAGACUGGGACACAAAGGGUAAAAGGACUAAUCACAGACUUACACAUUUCAACCAUCCCACAAUGCAUCACAAUCCCCCCUCUUUGCUCUGGAGAUAAUUGAGAAGUAAUUCAAUGAUCUCCAAAGACAGAGGCAAAACUCCAUUAACAACAUGGCAGAAAACAAACAGUAAAAGACAUAAAAUUACCUACAGUUACAUUCAGUACAUAAAACAUAUACGUUCUACAUAUCCCCAGAUAGCUCAGGUCUGAGCGCACAUUAUUAAGCGAAUGGCGCUCAGACCACACGAAUACAGUUUAAUCGCCAUGGAGCCAAAGUCUUUACACAGUCAGUUUCAUGCGAAUGGGCUCCAUGGGAUUCCUAUCUGGGGCACAACACACUCAAACAAAUCUACCGAACACCCGGCAGAAAAGCACGAAUAAGUCUUUUCUGCAGGAAAAAAAGAUGUAUUUUAACAUGGGGCCAGAGUCCAAAGGCAGCAUGCGAGCAACCAGGCUUCUCCAGUGUGUAGUGGCGAGGUUGGUUUCGCCACAAAUGUGUACAUCUACUUCUUGUGAAAGGAGAUAAAUAAUUAAUCUAAGAAUAAACAGACAUCUCAUCCCCCCCCUGCACAAAGUGAUAAAUAAAAUAAAGGACAACUUCCUAAUGGACAAACUGACAGCGCAGGUGCGUCAUACCACUGCCUCCUUUAUCAACGUGUGGCAACCAUGGGAGGACUUCCUAACAAAAAUACCCGUAACCCGUAAACCCACACACAGGGAUCUGAGCGGAACACAGGAACCUCCGCACGGGGCCAGUGAUCCCGGUGCCCCCCCUUCCUCUCCCGCAUCCCAUGCCUUUCUUCUUUUGCCCUUCACCCCAUUCUAAACAAAACAGCAGUUCAGAAUGGAGCGAACCACUAGAUGGGCACACCAAGACAGAAGUUCCCCAACAACUGGAACACAGUGCGGCAGUCCAACAAGACUCUAAAGUAGAUGACUCCACGAAAUGUAUCACCAUAGGCCACUUUAUACGUCAAUGUAUAAGAUUAGCAGCAAACACAAUUAUGGCAAACCGUUCUGUAUACCUGAUAUGUGUGCAACAGAUAUGCAACGCUACAUUCUUGAACUCAAAAAUAAAGAAGUAUAAAAAAAUAAACAGACAUCUGGGUUUUAUUUUUUUUAUUUUUUUAUUCUUUAUUUUUGUGCGCAUAUAGGCUUAACAGACUUGCUUGUGGUACCCCAAAGGUAUUCCACUCGCUUAUAUCAAUGGCAUUUGUUACAGUGGGGCAUACAGAGACAUGUGCACAUUUUUAUAUUUUAAGUGAAGUUAAGUACUGAAAAUACAUGAGUAAUAGUAAAAUAUGCGUCUAACAGGUACCUUAGACGUGACAUUGCCGUGAGGGUUUUAUUUUUUUUAAGGAAAAUAUUACAAACAUUAAAGGAUUACUUUAACCGUAUUUUGUUAUUUGUGUUUAUAGAGCAUUAUUGGGCACACGUCACUCCCCUUACUUUUUGUGAAGAAACAUUGAAAAUAAAGAUUUUUAAAAAAACUUACCUUGAAUCCAGUGUCGAGCCAUGUUCAUCACAUUGGUUCCCUCUCUGAGGUCCAUUCAAAUGCUUCUAAUAGAGAAACAUUGUUGGACUUUGGUUGCAUGUUCAAUGCGCCGGGCAUGCGCCAGUCAACUUCUUCUGACAAAGAAGCAUUGAAUCCAAUACUUCUCUACGAGUAGUGGAUGCUCAGCAUUUAUAAGCAGCAAGAUGAGCCGAGUGACCCACCCACCUCCCAAUCCCGACGUAACAGAAGAGUGUAAGGAGGUAGGAAUGCACGAAGGGUGGGGUAGAUAUUUAACAGAGCAAGUGGAGUAAAAGAAGGUAGGGAGGGCUUCACAUUGCAGGCGCUUUCAUAGCAAAGAAACUUAUUAAGAGGGCUUAGUGAAGGUAAGUUUCUAUUCCAUGGUUUCAUUCUUUUUUUUGUUAUGUUAAUAUUAUCACAAUAAAAUGAAGUUCUCAGUUGGAAUAAAACAGCAAGAAAUAAGUUGCGGGUGUUAAAAUGUUCAAUGAUUUUUUUAUAAUUGUGGUUUACUAAUUCCCUGCAAAGCGUAUUUACUAUACUCAGUGCAAGAAUUUUUAGAUACACAGGCGAAGAUGCAUUUUGCAGCCCAGUCCACCACCCCAUCCCCAAAAAAAUCUGUAACUUAAUCCCACUCUUGAAUUUCUUACUUUUUUCCUUUGUGUUUUACACUCCUCCGUGUGCAUCUUACGUCCCUCCAUCCCUUUUAUGUGUCUCUUACUCCCCUUCAAUCCCUUUAUGUGUCUCUUGUUCCCUGCCACUUUGUGUAUCUCUUUAUUCACCCCAACCCCUUUGUGUGUCUCUUUCUCCACCCCAGCCCCUUUGUGUCUCUUUCCCUCCUCCAGCUGCAAUGUGUCUCUCCCCUUCACCACCCCUUUAUGUCUCUUUCUCCCUUUAGCCCCUUAUGUGUAGCUCUUUCUCCCCUUCCCCUCUGUGUGUCACUUCUCCCAGCACCUUGUCUCUUUCUCCACACAUUCCCUCUGUGUCUCUUUGUCAUUGUCCCUAGCCCUUCAUGGUGUCUCCCCAGCCCAUGUCUGUCUCUUUUUCCCCUUCCCCAGCCCCUGUCUGCCUCUUUUCACCCUUCCCCAGCCCCUCUGUGUCUUUUUGUACUCCCUAGACCCUCUGUGUCUCUUUCCUUCUCCCUAGCCUCUUUUGUGGGUCUCUUUCUCCCCUUCCCAGCCCCAUUUGUGUCUCUUCCCCCCCACAGCAGAUUAUCUUUUCUCCCCAGCCUCUCUUUGUGUGUGUCUUUGUGUGUGUCCCAAUCCCUCCAUGUUUCUUAUUCUUAUUCCCUCCAUUCCAUGUGUCUAAUUUCCUCCCCUAGCCACAUGUGUGUCAUUCCCCUAGUCCCCCCAUAAGUCUCAUUCCCCUUGCCCCAUACCAUGUAUCUCAUUCCCCUUGCCUGUCACGUGUCUUAUUCCCUCAGUCCCCAUGUGUUUUAUUCCCCUGACCCUCACAUGUGUCUCAUACCCUAAGCCCCCCAAUGUGUCUUAUUCCCCCAGCCCACCUCCCUGCAUGUGUCUCAUUUCCUCCCUCCCAGUGUGUCUUACACCCUUUCCCCUUCCCUCCAUGUCUCUCCUCCCCUUACUUCUCUGUAGCGUGGCCAAGCUGCGGACUGGGAGAGAGGAGUUUCAGGAACCUCUUCCAGGUCUGACAGGAAGCAGUUCGGCACUUCCUGCACACACUUCCUGUCAAACCAGGGUAUAGGUUUCUGACGCUUCUCUCCCCUGGGCCACGCUACACAGAAGUGACUGGCUGGAGAGGAGCGCUGUUCUGUGCGCUCCUCUCCUGCUGGUCAGCCAGGUCGUUGUCAGGGAUCUUACCUGAUGUGGAGUACGGUAUGCAGAGAUAUACGCUCACCCUUGCAAAUAAACACAGACCAAGGUGACCAGAUAAGAAACCACCUGGCCUGUGGGUCUGUGCACGGAGGCUGUGCAGGUUUUAGCUCCAAGUCACAGUGCAGGCAAGGACACAAGCAGGAGGAUUGUCGAGGAGAAGCCAAAGUCAGAGGAUGCCAGAGGUCAGGAUAAAUGAGGGUAAGCCAAAGUCAGAGGAUGCCAGAGGUCAGGAUAAAUGAGGGUAAGCCAAAGUCAGAGGAUGCCAGAGGUCAGGAUAAAUGAGGGUAAGCCAAAGUCAGAGGAUGCCAGAGGUCAGGAUAAAUGAGGGUAAGCCAAGGUCAGAGGAUGCCAGAGGUCAGGAUAAAUGAAGAUAAGCCAAGGUCCGGAGCCGGCUGGAGAACACUGGAUCAAGAACACAAAUACAGGAACCAGAGUCAAUGAAUUGACAAAGUUCCCAGGCCGAGGCAGUGCUAUUAUACCCAGCUAAUGAUGAUCUGCUACAAGUGGGCUAGAUAGACAGGAGCAGCCACGGGUAAAGUCCAGCCCCCAGUGCUGGAGGCAAAGGCAAGGAUAAACAUAAGGCAAAAAUAAUAACUGAAGUGUUGCCCAGAGGCAAGAUGGCAAGACUAGGACACAGAUGGACCACAGUUCAAAUCCCCUGUUGGGCACUUCUGGGGUGACCAUGUCUGGCCAUCUGGAUGUUACAGUGCAAACUGUGUCAGUUGUACACCCCCCAGGGCCGGUGCACCUCACGGUGGCCACAUGUGCUGGCUUAUGGUAGCUAAGGCACUGACUAUAUUGUGUCAAUAGUCCAAUAUGUUGGUAAUAAAAAGUACUAUACUAGCCACUGAGAACUAGUUCGUGUAUAUUCAAAUAUUCACAGUGGCCACUUCAUUAGGCACCAUCAGCUCUUAAAAGCAGUACUGUCAUUUUUGGGGUCUGUAUAUUUUGCAAAUAUGGCUGAAGGUAACAUGCCCACUUGUACUGCAGCAAAUGAGGUGAGGGAAAGAUAGAUAGAUCUAUUCAUUUCAAGAAAAAAUACUUGGGCGUUGUGAAUUUGAAUAAUACCACUAAAAUUAAUAGUUUCUAAGAGAUAUCAGGCAUCUGCAAAAGGACCUGUUUUGUUUUUAAACAGAGUGCCUUUUCGGUUCACAUUAAAUGUGCAAUUUCUGCAUUUAAAACUGUGAGCUGGGGCACUAAAAAUGACACAUGAAGCAAAUUAACACACUUAUGCUAUGAUCGAACAUCCCAAUGUAGCUAUUUGCAACUGUGACCCUCCACACACUUCAGGGGGCACAGAACAUUACAAAAGGAAAAUUCACAACCUUAUGGGCCAUAUUUUGCGUUUUUCCCAAUUAAGAAUUUGGGUAAAAGAAAAUAACAGCAUAUUGUCAUAAACAAUGAGGGGCUGUUAUCCGGGGAGGAAAAGGAAUAGAAUGUGGAGCUAUCUUGCUGUGAACUGCACAUGACAUUUAUUUAAAAAGUAUAAGAGAACUUAUUCAUUGUUUUCCACGAACAAGACAGGCACACAGGUAAAAAAAAAAAAAAAAAAUAUGAAUAACUAUACACAUCACCAUUUAUUUAUAACAUUUUGGAUCAUCAUGCUCAGCUAAGAGUUGUAGCAAUUUAUAUUAUGUCAUUUUUUUUUCAAGGCAAUAAUAUUUAUAGACACAAUUAGUCAGGUUAGACAAUUGUUAGAAAUUAAUCAGAGAUUUAUUAUUUGCCUUUCUCUAGUUCUGUAAGGAGCAGCCUGAAUAUAGCAAUUAUGAGAUUUUAAAGUUUGAUAACUUAUAGGGGGGCUGUAAGUCUUCUGGAAAUGCCACCACUGAAAUCACUUUUAGCUUGUAUGAACUUUUUUAUUCAUCUGAUGUGCUGCUUGUUGUGAAAUGGGAAUAAAUCUUUCUAGCAAUUUAGUCGAUAUACACCCAUGAAUACAUUAAUUUAGUGCUUUUUGCAGAUUUCCUUUGGGUGUAAAUGACAUUUUAUUUGGCAAUAGUUGCAGAUCUAGUAUGUCAGGCAUCAACUUCCUCUUUCUUAUCUGUCUCACAGAGAAGCCAUGAGGACCAGCCUUACAUGGGCAUGGUUGUAAAAUCACAGGCUUCUCAGUAGGCUGUAUUACAGCUCACUGAUAAGUCUUUCAAAGGGAGGCACUCUGAGGGACAGCCUGGGAGGUCUAACAGGACUGAAAUAUAAAAGUACUGAUUUCUAUUGAUAUGUGCUUGAAGUGUUCCUUUAAAGAUUUAGUAAUUAACAUCACAAUUCAGUUCAGACUUGGCACAACCAGGACACACAGUGUAUUGUUUGAGUUAGUGACACAGAAACAUUGUGUUCAGUGACAAAAAUGGAAAGAUUUGAUAACAGCGAUUGACAGGGAACCAAGAUGUAGUCACACAAUCCUAGGACAGAGCUAAAUAUAGAGAGUGGAUUUGUACAUUUAAUUUAGUUUUUCAGAUUUCACAAUCAUAUAUUUGUAAAACUGAGCGGUUGAGUAAACCAAAUAGUAAAAUUCAUAGGAAGUAACAACCCCCUUUUAACUCUUUCACACAGCCUGAACUAAUUAAAAAGCUCCAAAAACUCACAAAGAGUUUUGGCAGGUUUUAAUUCUAAGAAGCAUAACGAUAUGGGGAUAUAUUAUUACUGUUUGAUCUAAGGCCAAAUAUAAAUAUUAUUAAACAGAUUCUUGUAUGAGAAAAAUAUGUGUUGAAAGAUAAAAGCAUUCGUUAUUAAAAUAUAAUAUUUAUAAUUUAAUACAUUUAUUAAUCAAAGCAUUUAAAACCCUGGUGUGCCAAGUUGUGAGCAAUAUAUUGCAAAACAUUAAGCAACAUUAAGCAGAAGGUAUAGGCAACAGGACAACUGGCUCAGAGAACCCUGUCCUGCAGAUAUAAAUAAGACAUUCUGUGCUUAUUGUAUGUCAAUACUGCAAUAAAUGCCACAGAUCCCAAGCUGUAAAAGGUACAUUGCUAUUUGCUUGCUGUUAACGACGAUUUCAUUGAAAACCUAUAAAACUGAUGAGGGAUUGACGUAUAUGGAAUCGAGACAUGUAAACACAUCCAGGGCCAACUCAGUAAUGCCUGAUUGUGGAGGGUAAAUGGGCAGUAAAGGACUGUCCGCUUAUUGAAAUUUAAAAAUACUUGGUAAGCUGUUUAAAUGUUAACAAUUACACGGAAAAAGCUAAUUGUUUUCCUUUAUUUUUAUUCUGUCUGUUGUCAAACAUUUAAAGUAAACACAGAAGGACACUAAUUUUACAGGUGUUAGGGGUGUGUGGCCAUGGGCGGGAUUGUUCUGAGAAAUGUUAGGUGACUAGCUAAUAACAAUUUAUGCAACUAAAAUGCAAUUUACAACAAGAACAAUGUAUCUUAUUUACACAGGCUGAUUUCUAAAACCAUAUAUUUUAAUUUAAAGACAUAUUAUUGUGAGUAUUACUGCAGUGGAGCUCUAGUAGAAAUGCAAAAAUUACACUUGCAGGGUUAAGGGUGAUGGGAGUUGGCACCCAGACCACUCUGUAGCGGAUGGCCCUGGGCUGUCCUGAGAAUUUCAUGUAUUUUAAUGCAUUCGUGUGAAAACAGCAAAGUUCUAUGUAUUUAAUGUAUUGUAUUCGUCUGAAUGUUAGGUAGUUUCAUUCCCUUAGUUUGUUCGAAUGAAACUACCGAACAGUCAGACCUCCCCUGUGUGAAGUGUGUCCUCAAUUACCCGUUGCAACAUUGUUGCGAACGGGUAAUUGACAAGUUAAGUAGCCGUCCUUUGUUCUCGGGGGUGGCCGCCAUUCGAAAAACGAACACGUGGCGGCGGCCAUUUUAAAACUCCCGAACAGCGGUGUUUUGCCGUCGAGUGUCUGGAACUCAAAUCGGACACUCGACUAGGCGAACACCGCUGAAACCUCCACAAGCCCGGUCCGUUCGGUUCCUAACUACCGAACGGCCCCUCGUUCGGUAGAUAGAAAGAACCGAACGAGGGGAUUCAGGCGAACCCUCCCUAGCCUCUAUAGCUAGAGGUUUUCGUGCCAUUUAUUCCCUGACUCCAGGACCGACCGCAGGGCCCAUUCACAUGGAACCGCAUUCGGCUGUUUCACCCAGUGCGGUCGGUCAUUUUAUUCCCUCCAUAAAUUUCCCGAACCCCUGGUCUGAUCUGGGUGAUUUUUGGAUAUGUUGUUCACCCAGAUCAGGGCUACCAGGGGAUGUAUGAUUUAAAGUGGUACCCCUAAGUUUAGGGGUACAUCCAGAAACGGGGGGAAUUGGUGUCCUGGAUAAGGGGAUUAUGAUGCAGGCUGAGGGGAGGAGAGGUGUGGGAGGUUAUCAGAACAGGAUUGGCUACUGUACUAAUGAAUGAAAAUCCCUCCCUUGCAUGGGAGCAGGCUUUAAAAGGCCACUGUCUGAAUAAAGCUUUAGUUAUGCUCCUGAAACUGUGUGUUGUCCAGAUAUUGGGAUUGCUGUUGGGAUACUGCUGUUAUUUUGCCUGCUGGAUACUUUACUCUAUGGAUUUAUAAUUGCUUGUUCCUGAACCUCCCUGGGAUCUAAAGUGGAGAUAGGCUGUGUAAUACCAGCUCUCCGCUACACACUCCAAUGGGCAGAAGUGGUCUGGGUGCCUGGACUCUGGAGUGUCCCUUUAAUACAUGAUCUGUAACAGAAGUAACUCCAGAACCCCUUUUCUCUCAACACAUUUCACUAGGUUGUGCCCCGAUGGAAUAUUUUCUGUAAUUUACAAAUAAAAAACUAAUUAAAAUGAACAUGGAAUAUAUUUACUUUUACUUACAAAAAAAAGAAAAGAAAAACAAAAAUAACUAUAUAGUUUUAAAAAAACAAAACAGAUUCUGGAUACAGUUUGACCACCAACUUAAGCAGCCACAGUAUGGGUUUUCCCUAAAACGGAAUCUCUUUUCUAAAGGGUUCUAUGGUAUAUUUGAUGGUGGUUCCCUUAAGUGCGCUGUUGUUGUUAUGGUUUUUUGGAGUGUUCCUUUAAAACAGGGGUGCCCAAAAGGUAGAUCCCCAGAUGUUGUAACACUACAACUUCCAUGAUGCUUUGCCAUUAUAAAACCAUUCUAAAGGUAUGCAAAGCAUCAAGGAAUUUGUACUUCUACAGGACCUGGGGAUCUAACUUUUGGGUACCCCUGCUUUAAAUCUUACUUUUACCUGUCUACAAUGGUGGUGCUACUCAUAUCUAAAUAUAAAAGAAUGCAGUUCUUUUGUUAUUGUUGAUACAUAUGUACAUUGUCUCACACUACUGGAUUGCAUACCUUUUUCUGUUUUGUUGAACUGCACAACACAAAAAAAACAGAUAUUGAAACAAGACAGAAAAUACAAAAUCUGUGCUCUAGUGAUACAAAAAAAAAGAUAUACAUUAAAAUUUAGCUCAUUUACUUACAGUGAAAUAAUGCAAAUUCAUGCAAAUGUCUAAGAUGGAAACUAGAGAUCAGGGAUGACAGAUUGGCUCUGCAUUAGGAUAUGCCUAUGGGCACUAUAGAACUCAUCACCUUGCACUCUGGUAGUCAUAUAUUGCACAAACACAGUAGUAUGUUUUAGUGCAUAACCAUGACGGUAAAAGGUUCUGCUGUGUAGACUUAGACUGGUACUUUGAAUAGAGCAACUUUGAUGGGAAAAGGGGGUAACUGCUCUCAUUGGAACUGUGUUUUGGCUUGUUAUGAGCUUUUUUUUUUUUUUUAAAGGGACACUGUAGGCACCAUAACCACUUUAACAUAUAUAUGUGAUUAUGGAGCCUAAGGUCACUGCAGUCACAAGUCCAGCAGCCUAGCCUCCAAUGAUAAUAUUGUGUAAGCGCUGCUAUAUUAGAGAUUGGGGCAGUAAUAAAUGGCCCUCAGUUGAUGCUCUCAGCUUAUCACUGCCUGCUAUACACCUUAUGGCGUGAAGAGGAAAAUAGCUCCACCUUUGCCAUACUGUCACUGGAGAUUGGGCUGAAGUCUGCUUGGGACCAAUAAUCUGAACUAAACAGUGAGUGAACCGUUAAAUAGUGAUGUGGGAUCUAUAACCUCCAGGCACCAUAACUAUUUCAACUGUUGAAGUAUUUGUGAUGCCUAAAAUGUUCCUUUCAAGCUGGUAAUUAGAAAGCACUGCCACCAGAAGUGACCACAGUGACAAAUCCAAUGUACAAAGUGAUCUUUCUAAAUGUAGCUCUUGAUGUCCGUCAUCUAAGCUCUCAAAGUGUUAACACAGUUCUUUUCUAUAACUCUGUAGCCCUAACAUGCCUCUGGCUGGCAUUAAAGAUAUUAAGCAGAGCUCAUACUGUAAAUUAGAGGCGUUUCCUGCCUCUGCCAGAAAAUACGCUAAGUAUAAUCUGUACAAAGCAAUUCAAGACCAGAGGGGAAUUAGACACACUGGUGAAAAUAGAAGUGUGCUCUUGAAGUAAUGAAAUGAAAGUAAUCUUGAUUGGCCUCAUUUGCUGCAGUUCAAAAGCUGCCCAUCAUCACCAUGAAUGUAACAAGGGAUCAACCGGCGGUUAUUGCUGCGACAAAGUGCUUGUGGUUACCUAACACAGAACAAGUCAAGAACCCCUUAUUGUACACUCAAUAAUGGGUCCUCCAACUCUGACAGGAUAUAUGCUAUAAUUUUAAUUUCACAAAUACACAGGGAGGAUAGGAAGGUUAGUCUACAGCACUUCGGAUGUCUGAUGUUAACUCCUAUUAUCAUCUGUUCCCAUUUAUUUGCAAAACACUGUAACUGCCACCAGUAGAAGGGAAAUAACUUAUAAAGAGAUAGCGAUUCCUGUUAAUUUUUUUUUUUUAUUGUAAAAUUCUGAGUAGCCUGUGAUUGAAUAUUAAAUACUGUGCCCUAGAUAGGUGGUAAGAAGUGAAAAUACAUUAACCAUAGAGAAGGAUUCUUAAAAAGUGUGACAUAUGGAGCCCAUUAUAUUCCUUAGUCAAAGCUGGGAGUAAUAAAAAAUGUCAUAUAUUAUUCACUGAACUAUUACUUAACAUAAGGAAACAUACAGGACACCUCUCACCUAUUUAGUCAUAUGGAACACUUAUUUAAGUUUAACAAAUGACAAGACAAACUUCAACACUUUGUUUAUGAUUUUAGAAUUAUUGUGAUUAUAUUUACAUAAUGACACUCUUUUCCACAAGAUGGCAGCAUAAUAUUUAACAUGCAGAAACUGAGUGACACAUAGUCGUUAAGGCAUAAACAACAAUAUAACGGAAAGAGAAAGUAUAGUGCNNNNNNNNNNNNNNNNNNNNNNNNNNNNNNNNNNNNNNNNNNNNNNNNNNNNNNNNNNNNNNNNNNNNNNNNNNNNNNNNNNNNNNNNNNNNNNNNNNNNCCCCCACCCCCCCAAAAAAAAUUUUUUUUUAAAGGUUCUCUUUUUUUUUUUUUACAAUUUGUAAACUUUGCAAAACCGCUGUCAACCCCUCCUACAAAACCCUUGUCCUGUCCUGCCCCUCCUACAAAACCUCUGUCCUGUCCCUUCUACAAAUCCUGUACUGCCUCGUCUACAAAACCCCCGCAACCCCCUUCCACAAAUCCCCUGCUUAUCCCCCCUUAUAAAGACUCCUGUCCCAAUGCAAACCCCCCGCCCCCUUCUACAAAAUCCCUGCAGCCCCACACACACAUUUACAGGCAGACAGUCACACACUCAGUUACAGGCAGACAGUCACAUACAGUCACAGGCAGACAGUCACACAUACACAUUUCCUCCGUGCGGCCAGUUUAUCAGCUGUUUGCUUGUGUGAGCUGUACACGGCACCCUAACUACCAUGGGACACUGUGCGGCCACAGCUCACACAGCCCCCUCCAGCCAGGGCCGGUGCAAGGAUUUUUGCCGCCCUAGGCAAAAGUAAAGUUUGCCGCCCCCCCAUAUGACAUCACAAUGCCCCAUGUUAACUAACGCAAGUGCUGCAGUGCUGCCGUGUUUACAUUAAAAGGCCUGCAAGGACAGGCUAUAGACACCAGAACCACUACAUUAAGCUGCAGUGGUUCUGGGGACUAUAGUGUUUCUUUAAUGUGAGGUAAAUUAGAGCUUAGUGCCACGAAUAAUAUACUAGAUUGCCUACUUACAACCAGAUGAGGAUGAUGAUGGGCUCUAGCUGCAGUCUGGCUCCACUGGUGUGGUGCAGAACAGGCUCUCUGGAGGCAGUUUGUAACUGUGGUCACAAAAAUCAAUGUUCUGGGAGAACGGGAAGCAGCUCCAUUUUUUGGGGGGUCCUUUACACAGCUCAAGGUCUGGGUCCCAGGGUGCACCUUCAUGUUCCACCAAUGAGUUUGUUCACAGGGGUGGAGUGUGUAAGGGAUGUCCUGAUAUGUGUGUAAGGAAUGCAUUGUGUGAAAUUGUGUUUGUAUGUGUAAGGGCUGCAAGGUGUGUUUCUGUGUAUGUAUGGGAUGCAUUGAAUGUGUGUAAGGGGUGCAUUGAGUGUGUGUAAUGAAUGCAUUGUGAGUUUCUGUGUGUGUAAGGGAUGCAUUGUGUGUAACAGUUGCAUUGCUUGUGUAUGUGUGUGUGUGUGAUGCAUUGUGUGUUUUUCUGUGUGCAAGGGGUGCAUUGUGUGUAUGUGAUGAAUGUCAAUCUCUCCUCCCGCUCCAAUUUCCUUCUCCUCCUCCCAAUUUCUCUUUCUCCCCCCUCCUAAUUUCUCUCCCCCUCCUAAUUUCUCUUUCUCCCCCCUCCUAAUUUCUCUUUCUCACCCCCCUCCUAAUUUCUCUCCCCCCCUCUUAAUUUCAAUUUCUCUCCCCCUCCUAUUUUCUCUUUCUCACCCUCCCUCCUAUUUUCUCUUUCUCACCCCCUCCUAAUUUCUCUUUCUCACCCCCCCUCCUUUCUCUCACCCCCCCUUCUUUCUCUUUUCUCACCCCCUUCCUAAUUUCUCUUUCUCACCCCCUCCUAAUUUCUAUUUCUCUCCCCCCUUGUAAUUUCUCUCCCCCUCCUGUUCAAUUUCUCUCCCCCCUCCUAUUUUUCUCUUUCCUCACCCCCCUUCUAUUUUCUCUUUCUCGCCCCCUCCUUUCUCUCUCACCCCCCUUCUUUCUCUUUCUCACCCACCUUCCUAAUUUCUCUCUUUCUCACCCCCCCUCCUUUCUCUUUCUCACCCCUUCUUUCUCUUUCUCACCCCCCCUUUCUACAGAGCGCUCGGGCGGCUGCAGCAUGGGGGGGCCGGCGGGGCUGGUCAUGGCACCCCCCACCCUGGUGGCACCCGGGGCGGACCGCCCCCUCCGACCCCCGUUAGUACGCCACUGUUUUAACCUUUAACGUUUGGUGUUUGUAUACAUGUAAUUCAAUUAGAUAUGGGAUAUAUUACACUGGCUGGCACUGGUUAAUAUGUGGCUUGUAAUACAGUGCAUUAUAUAGUUAUAAGACAGCUUGUCUAUAGAUAGUGCAGUACUAUCCCUUUUUAAGCAAAACAGAAAGUACAACUUUCUGUUUUGCUACAAUGCCUUAUACUGUUUAUUUCUGACUUUGACAAUGUUCUUAGCUCUUAAUUUGGUACCCUACACCAAGCAUGUCAAACUCACGGGCCGCAUGCGGCCCACAAUGAAUAUUUUUGCGGCCCAGCGAGCUGCGAGUUUCACAUGUUAAGGCAGAGUAGGCACCUGCUCUCCCCACAUUGCAGGUGCCUACUCUGCUAAAAUUUACCUGGCCGGGGGGGGGAGAGGUCGCUGGCGGCAGCGAGGGAGCUCAGUCUGUUCUUCCUGCUCCCUCGUGUGCGCCUACUGUAGUGAUGCCAGGUGCCGGAAUAUGACAUCAUUCCGGCCCAGCAUUACUAAACUGCACGCGUGAGGAGCACGAAGGGAGACCCCUGGGAAAGGCCCCACACCAGCUCCCAAAGGGUAGGGAGCAAUAAAUAAAAUGAUUUAUGAGGGUGUGUCUGUCUGUCAGUGAGUGUGUGUGUGUGUUGGUCAGUGUUGCGAUGGCUGCGGCCGGACAGUGGAGGACCUGGAGGUGCACAGAGGCACGCAAUGCCACAUCACAUUCAGACGUGACGUCAACAUGCUCCACCUUAACAGGGUGUCAAGGAGUAGCAGGAGGAUCCGCUUUGGCACAGGGUCCAGAGUCGCAUACUGGCAGCGGCAAUGUGAGUGGAGUCUGCUUGUUGGCUAAUAUUAUUAUUAUUAUUAUUUUAAACAGGGGCCAUGGUUUAGUAGAGCCGGGUGCCGGGAUUUGGAAUAGAGGGGAGGUGGGGGCUGUUAUUUGGAAUAGAGGGGGGGGGGGAACUGGGGUUUAGUAUAGAGGUGGGUUCUGGGAUUUAGUAGAGGGGAGAACUGGGGUUUAGUAGAGGGGGAUUUUUUUUACAAUAUAUAUAUAUAUACAAACCUCCAAACUAAACUAAACUGGGGUUUAGUAUAUCAAUAGAAUCAAUCAGGGGUGAUCCAAAUUUGAGGUCCUGUCCGUUUCCUACACCAGCUCUGUUGGCUAGUGUCCCUGGUCUGUGGACACCAGAGAAUUUCCAACAGUGAGUGCAGCUUGAGCACAUUAUGUGCAGUAGAGCCGUGUAGAGUGCUAUCAAGACAUUUAGCCCAUGACACAGUACUUCAAAAGCAUUCUACAUUUAGCAGCUCUGAAUGGGGCUGACAUAUAUACGGUACAUUUCAAAAUAAACCUACGUUUCUAUAAAAAUGUAUGUUUUUGGGGGGGUUUGCGGCCCACAAAAAAACUUAAACCUUGUGUAUUUGGCUCGUGCUAGCCUUUGAGUUUGACAUGCUUGCGCUACACUAAUGGAUUUUGCAAUGUCUUUAUUGUAAUAUAUGAAGAAAUUAACUUGAAACUCCAAUUAGGUGAAAGAACAGUUGUAUAGGCAGAACUAGAAAACAGAGAUAAAAAAAUCAGCAGCGCAGAGGUAGGGGAAGCCACAACAUCAGUGCUGUCAAUAUACAGCAGACAGUGGAAAAUAUGUCAAGGUUAAAAAUCCGGUUUAUCAUGUGGUCAGGCAAGCCAGCCAGAGCAUAAUAUACAAUGAAAGAUACAGCACAACAACAUAAAGGAAGCAAAAAUCGUGAAAGGGCACCAUAGCAUCGUUUUAUACAGACUUUCCACAGAUGGCUGCUAGUUCCCUAUUGAGGGUGCCAGCACAAUCGUGGGGAUGUUGCCAAGAUGCAAUCAAGAGAUCAAGAAUUACGCAAACAGCUUGAGUCCUUAAUGUGUACCCCCAUGGUGGUCAAAUGGGAGGGCACAGACUGAACAAUACUGCUCUUUCUGUUUAUAUUAGGCCCUUUUUCUCUCUCUUUCCUGUUCUUAUUCUCCAACUCCCCUCGGCUCACUGUUCUCCCCUCUCGUCUAAUAACCUCCUACUGUUUGUUUGAUAGCACUCAACAGUUUGCAUUACCAUAUGCGAGUGCAAUAAAUGUGUAUGGCUUGAUUUUUCUCAAUAAAAUUGAAUGAAUUGCAAAAAAAACCCAAAAAACUGUAAAGCAACAGGAAAUGGUUAAACUAUUAAUUAUAACAAUCCACAGAUUUUACUAAAUGUUGUAAAAACAAGCAAGAAAUUAAGGAUUGCAAAUCAAAUAAAAAACAGGGUCACUUUGUGCAGUGGUCAGACUGAUUCACAUUGAGGUGCUGAUAAGGCUGGAGCAAUGAAUUAUUGCAUAUUCUAUAAUAACAGCAAGUAACAUGGCUCCAUUUUCUUGUCAAUGUGCUACGACUUUGUCUACAUAACAUGAUGUGUUUGUGUUUCUUUCCAGGACUGUUGAAAAAGUAAACAUAGUGGCCUGACCGGGUUGGUUUCAUUUGAACUGCUUUGCAAUGUAAAAUAAAAAAAAUAAAAUAAAAAAUACUACCCAUACCUUUCACAUAACCAUUCUCAGCACUUCUCUGCCAAGCAUCACUAUGCAUCGUAAAACACUAUUCUGCUGACGUGCUGCUUAGACCUCUACAAUUCUCUGGGUGUACCUCGUAUAGUUGAGAUUUGGACCCCUCUAUCAUCCCACUCUGAUUGUUCCCACUAAUUUCUAAGCACUUACUUGAAAGCAUAAGUUGUGUUGCACACUACACAUAAUGUCAAAGUGAUCCUGUCAUGGCAGUUUCAUAUAAAUGGAUAAGAGCUUGAAAAUGAAAGACAUUUAUAAUAAAGGUGCCUAUUUAAUAUAUGUAUUUGGUUUAGGAGGUGUUAACUGGUGUCAGACCACUUAUUAAAUCUGAUGCUUAAGUCUGUUUUUCCAUGCUCUCAUAACCAAGAGCAGCGUCGGCUACUCAUUUUCACUCGCCUCAUUCUGACUUCAAUCUGUCCUAAAACCAUGUAAGCAGCAACUGUUGCGCAUUUUUGUGUAUUUUAGUUGGCGUCUCUCUCAACGCAAAAUAUGUGCAAAGUGAUGCAAUUGGUGACACAAUGAUCUGGACCUAUUUAAACUCAUGUCUCCUCCUUUUCGUUGUUAGUGNNNNNNNNNNNNNNNNNNNNNNNNNNNNNNNNNNNNNNNNNNNNNNNNNNNNNNNNNNNNNNNNNNNNNNNNNNNNNNNNNNNNNNNNNNNNNNNNNNNNUAUUACUUAUAUGUAAUGCAUGUGCAAAACUAUUUUUUGCUAUUGUCUUUGUUUUGGAUUUCUACUAGACAUUGUUUCAAUUACAUCUAAACUCUUUAAAGACUGAUACGUAACAAUCCUACAACUUUACCUUUACUACACAAUGGAGAGAUUAAAGAGAGAAGUAUUGACAAGCGCAGGGCAAAUUGUGUGCUUUUUUUCUACACCUUGCAGUUAACUUUUCCUUUAUUUUCCAAUUCCUGGUUUAGUCAAUGAACCCACUUUUUUUUAUAUAAUAUUAAAGGUUGUCUUUUAGAAAUGGGAUUCACCAAAAUAUAUGACACUCGUACACCGCUAGUUUAUUCUACCUAAUGUGUACAGGAUUACAAAUCAGAUAUUGUGUCAUUCUCCUUAUAAAAUAUAAACAGAAGUGUCUCUGGAACCCUAAGGGUUAAGCCUUACUCUUAACGCCCAAAGAAAGAUAGAGACUAUAAACUCAACCAGCGUAGCUUCCAUCAAAACAGGGUCAGUAUAGAGGAUAAUUCUUUUUCCUCAGUCAGACUUACAGUUUGGGACCUUUUGCAGGCUUGUUAAUUAGUGACUGACGCAGAGUUCAUAAUCUCUAAACGGCCCUGACAUCUCUAUUAGCUGAAAUGUUAAUGUCGGUCUGCAACAGAAGAUGUCUAUGCAAACAGGAGGGGUUCCAAUCAUAAUACUGUUCAUGCAGACAAGUUUUCUCUUGUCAUAAAGUAGAGAGUUCAAUUAUUUCAGCAGGAGCCAAGGGGCUCCUUGUAGGGUAACCUGCUUGCAGCUGUAUUCUAAAACACCUUAUAAUUUGCUUAUGUGAUAUGUAUGAUACAUAAAUCCCACUCAUUGAUGCCUUACAAAAAAAAGACAAGUUAAGAAUUCAGUGGUCCACUAAUUUGUCCUCAAUUGUUAUUGUUUUUGUCAUGUGUCUUUCCAUAUGUAUGUUUGUAUUUUCAAAAUCUAUUAUUUGUAUUUUCAUGAUAAGCAAAGUAGUCAUGAAUAAGAAUAUAAUAUAGAAUCAAUAUGCUGGUAGGUUCCCUCUGCACGAGUGAUACAGAACCUAGAAAUUAUCAUUUUGCCAAAGGUCAGUUCUAAUAAUGUUAAUUUUGUAUGAUAUAUUCUUUUUCACAAACUAAGAAAAAGUUAACUAAAAAAAUAAAUAAAACAAUAGCUUAAUUGGAGAAUUUUUCUUAAUCAGCUAUUUUUUUAGCCUAAAUUUAGCAAAUUAAGUUUUCAGUUUAAUACAAUUUGGUGUUUAGUGAGUAAGCCCCUGUUUCUAUAUUAGUAAGCGGAAGUCCCCCUGACUAUGUCACGUUAUGCCAAAUCGGGACACACCGACAACCGUUAGAGUGCCAGAGCAAUUUCUAAUUCAUUCCUAAACAAUCCACUCUUCCUUAUAAUUAAGUAAACAAACCAUUAAACAGCUCAUAGGUGGGAAGGGGCAUAUCUGCAGCACUCAAAUAUUUAACAGGGAAAUAUUUUUGGUAUUUAUAAAGAUCUCUUGGAAUUAGUAUGCCCAUGGAAUGGACAGAGACAGGUGACCGUGCGAGGAUUUAAGUGUAGAAGCUAAUCGGCGCCACCUGCUGAUGAAAAAACAUAUUAACAGAUGUUUAAAUACAUUAACACCUGCCAUAAAAUUAAAGAUUUUAUCCUACCACAUUUAGAAAAAAAAUACUUUAGCAUUGUAUUAAUAAAGUGCACCUUAUGAUAAUACAUGUAUUAUUCUGCAUUCCCUGCAAUGCACAGGAUAUAUAUAAAGCUUAAGAAAAAGUUCUGCUUUGCCUCUAGAGAUUAUAUAUAUUUAUAUAUAUGUAAAAAAAAACAGAUAAAAUUUGUAUCUUGUAAUACCUUUUUUAUUGGACUAACAUAUAUAUAUAUAUAUAUAUAUAUAUAUAUAUAUAUAUAUAUAUAUUAAAUAACAGGAAUAGGUGGCUUCCCUCCAUGCCACUCCCAGAAUUAUAGAAGUAAUUGGCUGAGGACAAGGCAUAUUUUUGGAUUUUUAGUUAUCUUUCUUGUCUAAAGAGGUGGGUAGUGUGCGUUUCAUUCUUUGGCAUCUUGAGGUGGGGUUACGUAAUGUAGUGGAGAAUCUGUUUUAUGAAAUCAUAGGUAGAUGAGGUGGGAGAAUUCAAGAAUCAAGUGUGUUGAAAGGAGCAGAUAAAAGUAUAAACAGUGGAAUAAUUUAGGGAUUCUCAGAGUAAUAUGAAAUUUCAGAGGACACAAACGCUGCUUUAAAAAGAUGUAUAAACAUAUCUAAAGUACACAGUUGGUGCAUUCAGGAUGGCAAGGAAGAAGAUUAGUAAAAUAUGCCAAGCCCAAAGGGAAAGAAAAAUCGCUCAGCCAGGUAAUUCAGGUAAUUUUAUUUAACACCAAGAUUAAGCUAGAACAUACUGCAAGUUAUUUAGAAUGCGAGACUUACUCUAGGCAUUGCCUAUGAGUAAGCAUCCAGUGGUGUAAAACAUUUAAAGCUAAUGAUGGUUUUCUGAAUUCCUUCUUGUAUGUUCAGGAUUACACUCGUUAAAUAAAGUUACUUCAUCUCAUUUUAGUAAUAGUUUACUCCUUGAUAGAUAAAUAAAUACCUACUCAUUUUUGUAUAUCUUCUGGUUUCCUGCUUUUCAUAGUAUGUGGUGAUGACUACCUGAAGCACAAAGAGGAUUUGGAGUAACACCCCAGGAUUCUGAAGGAAGGCACCCCAAGGCGACAUAUCCAUCAAGUCUCUAGUAAAUGAAUUACUAUUUGUGCAUAUAUCUGUACUGUAUUACACUAUAUCAGUGUUUUUUUUCUGUAGAUCUACAGCUGUAUCCUCAUCAUUGUAUAUAUUGGUUUGCUGUUUUGAGGGAUACUACCUGGGAUAUCCUUAGAGGACGUUGUGCGUUAUUAUUUUAAGUUAUAUUUUUCUUUAUUCCACUCUGUUCACUUUGAGGUGAGGACCGUGAGGUUGUGGUAAUUGUACUGAUAAAUGCUUCAGCCUACAUUUAUAGUAUUUCUUUUGUUAAUGAAAUCUUGAGACUCUUUGAGCAUUUCUUCACCUGUCAGUACCUGUUCCUUUCAUACAUACUCAAACACUAUGAUUUCUAACAUUAACCCAUGCAACCAUGUAUAUUUAAAGGAACACUAUAGGGUCAGGAACACAAACAUGUAUAACUGUCCCUAUAGUGUUAAAAACACUAUCUAGCCCCCCUGGCAUUCCCUUGCCCCCCUAAAUAUAGCAAAACCUUACCAGUCUCCUGGUGCUGGCUCUGCCCCUGAUCUGCCUCCUUGGCUGACAUCAUCAAAAGUGAUGAUCUCAGACAAUCACAAUGCACGAUUCGCUGAGAUUGUCAAUUCUGAUGAUCACAGCCAAGGAGGCUGGCUGGGGCCAGAGCCAAAUACUGCCUUGGCCAAUCAGCAUCUCCUCAUAGAUAUGCAUUAAAAUAAUGCAUCUCUGUGAGGAAAGUUCAGUGUCUGCAUGCAGAGGGUGGAGACACUGAAUGUCAGUAUUGCAAACUGUACAGCACUGCCCUAGGAAGCACCUCUAGUAGCCAUCUGAGAAUUGGCCAGUGGAGGUCUCCCUAGGCUGUAAUAUAAGCACUGCCUUUUCCCUGAUUAUAAAGGAAUAAGGCCUACAGGGAAUGAGUAUACUCACCAGAACAACUACAUUAAGCUGUUGUUGUUCUGGUGACUAUAAUGUCCCUUUAAUCCCACAAUCUUACCUGAACUUUCAAACAUUCAGCAAUAUAUAUAUUUUUUCAUUUUUAAAUAAUAGAUAGACUGUGGUACAGUAACAGCAACUAAACAAUGCCACAAUGUGGAGCCAGAGUCUGUAUGACCAGACAAUGGUCAAGAUUCCACAGAGCACUUGUUUGGGCCCACUUAACUCUUCACAUAAAGAGGGUAAAUGGUGCCAAACAUGACCUCCAGUCCCUGGGCAGCUGCAUUAUCCUGCCUUAUGUGUAUGAUGCUGGUAAUUAAAGUCCGUUCAUAGGAGAUUCUGGGCAUGACAUAUAUAGUUUCCAAAAUAAUUUUCUUUACAAUAUUAUGGAUGCAUCCAUUAGUAGGUGUAGCAUUUGUCAUUUAAGUUCUUAAUAAAAGACUCAGAGGAAUGAUUCUUAACAUUCGCAAUCACUGUUUGAAUGACAAGAGAUAGCUACAGCAGACACAGAGAACUUCAAAGACAGGUAAUGCGCCACACCUGCUAUUUUAUUAAGCACAGUUUCUUCCCUUAACCACUACUAAUGUUUAAUGACAUCUGGCAAGACCGAGAUUUCAUGUACUGUUUCUGGAUUAAUGAGUAUAUGUAGGAGUAACUUAAAUUAUUGGGGAGCUGCACUGAUGUCACCUAACUUCUUCUGAGAUCUAUAAUGUACCCAGAUUAUGCUUCAGAUCUCAAAUAAAUCAUUUUAAUAGAUACAUUUGUUUCUAGGAAAGCAAUCUGGCUACUCAUAUGUCAGCCUUCACUCUUAAUGGAGCAAUUUUUCCAUGUAUAUUUUAAGAGGACUAAUUAACCUUGAAAGAUUCGCUGAGAAAAUUAAAGUGGUGUUCAUCUGACAAGAGAUGUAUAUUUGAAGAUCACAGUCGCUAGCAUAUGGUGCAUGUGGAAAAACGACAGAAAAAGUUUAAAUGUAUUAGUUGGCAGACCAAAAAAAAUUCUGACGUGAAACAUUUGACUGCAGGCUAAGGAGUGAGAUGAAAUGUCACUUGUGAUUUGCUAGUACCAUCCAUUUGGCAUGUAAAAUCCCCAAUUGGGGACGCAAUUUAAUGUUGACCUAUUAGCCAUGGAGCAAUAUAUCAUAUUCUAAACAUUUAAUUUUAACUAAAGAGAAAUUGUUACUACAAUAAAACUUUCACUCACAGGAUAGACUGUUCUAGAACUUGGAAUGUUGGAAUGUUGAUGCAAGAUUGGUAUAACUGCAAAGCUUUUUUGUUCUUUGAGAUAAAAUAAUGUAAUAUGCAAGUAUCAAUUCUGUAGAGGAAGUAAAAAAGAUAGCUGUAUAUCCCCAUUAUUCUACUUAUCUGUUAAUUAAAAGUUCUCAAAACACAAAAUAAUUGAGAAGACAUUUUCAAAAGUACUAGAAUGCAAAAGUAGACUUUGAGAUCAGACCCAGAGGAAAUCUCAUAUUAAGGAUCUCAGGUCACAAGAGGAGGCACCAUCAAAUUUACAAGUAGUUGAUAUCAUUAGCCAUGUCUCAGCAGGGUUAGAAAGCUAGAAAAAAAUAACUAAACUGCACAACUACAACCUCACUUGUUAAAUGAGAUGUUAAUUGACUGCUUACUGCACAGUAACCAGUCUGCCCUCCUUUCCCAACCUAAUGAGCUGCAAUUUACACCUCCCCAGAUGGAAUACGUUUGAGUAAAGAAAACAUAAUUGGCCCUUUUGCUACAUUUCAAAAGAACAACACAUGCCUUUGAGCUAUCUACUAAUAUACUCGGGAUAUGGGAUUUCUUUAGGAUUCACAUAUAUUGGAGCAUUUUCUACAUACUUAUCUGUCAUGUUAUUUUUAUAUUUCUAGAUAUAUGGAUUUUAUUUCUGAACAAGUCGCUACAAUUGCUUCCAUGUCGCACUAAAAAUGUUAUCCAUCAAGAAAAAUCACAAGGUGCCAGAUAAAUAUGAACUGUAACUACCCUAGAUAUUUAAUAUUAUAUUUACGUAUCUAUUAUAUUUAACAAAUAUGUGUUUGUAAGGCGAGUUAAAUAAAAUUAAAUAUAGAAAUUCACACCUAUGUAUUUAGCUGUAUCCGAAAACUGAGUGCCCCCACCUUGGUUCUCUGUUAAAGGAAUACUCCAGGCCAGUGGGGGAACUAAUGUAGACAGAGCCUUGAUGCAAGUUUUUUUGGGGGGGGCUCCCUCUAGCACAAGGGUGCGCAAUAGGUAGAUCCCUGUCUGUCAAACUCCCCUGAAGCUAUGCCAGCUGGGGAUUUACCAUUUGCCCAUCCUGGCAGGGUUGUAUUUGUGAGCAGUGUUUGUGCAUUUUAAUGUAAGCAUGUUUUUAGAUAGUGUACGUGUGUGCAUGUAGGGGUGUAUUUGUAAGUACUGUUACCAUUGGAAUGCAGUGGUGUACUUGAGUGUUAUGGUUGUUCCAUUAGAGAUGAAAAAAUUGGACAUCCAUUACACAAAAAGAUAUCUCAUAAAGAUAGUAAAAUAAUUAUUGGGUAUAACCUUUAUUAAGCCGCAUAUAGACAAAAAACAAAAAACUAUAAAGUGUAAUAAUAGUGAAAUACUUGUGAAAAAACAACAAGUGAGAUAAAAACUGGGUAGAUGCAAUGUGGAUAUCCUCAAACGGUAAUAGGGUGGCUAAAGUCUCUUAGGCUUAAAUUUGCACUAAAGAGUAUAAUAUAGAUUAUCACACAGCCACUCCCUAUAUACCGAUAAAUCCACAUAAAUUGUCAUAGACUCUUAUAUAUUUUAUUGGGCAUACAAAUUAGAAUUAAAUCAAUAGUAUCCAUAGAAUAUACAUCUAUCGUAUAUAGUUAUUCUAAACUUGUUGCAAAUAGAAAAGAGAGUCUGGAGGGAGGUUGAGUGAAAAUAUAAUUAUCUUUGCUACUCAGUUGGAGGUUAAGCAAAAAGUGUCUAGUCAGUAGAUAAAUAGCAGCCGUUAUACAGAUAUAUACAAUAUGGUUACUAGUAUCCAAGUGUAUCCUUAUGGGAGUAUAGAUAGAGUUAAUAAAUGACCACAAAUAGUACUUAGUUUGAUGGAAACCAUACUAGAGAAGAUGUCUCAAUGUACCAAUUAAAGCAUAGAUGUAUAUAUAGAUAUACAUAGAAUGCUCAAUGAGUGGUUAGGAUUAAACCUGGGGGAUUAAUGUGCAGUUGUCUCUUAAUUGUCUCUUAAUAAUGAGAUGGGUUAAAAAAUUCAAACCCCAAAUUCAUAAUUGCAGCUGCCAGACAAAAAAAUACAUCCCAUAAACAAAAACCACUUAGAUAAUAAACCCCAUCCACAUCUGCAUUCGCUAGAAUGAACUCCUAUAUAGAAACUGUACACUGGUACUUCAGAACCGCAUAAAUUGCUGUAUCUCUAUCUAUAUAGAGAGUCCACGUCUGCAUACACUGUAGUAGAUUUCUGUAUAAACAGUUGGCUGCUGCUUCGGGGCAGCCUAACGCUCAGAGUCACUGACUAAAAAGUCUCUCGGAUGACGCUAUUCCUAACUCCUACUGCUGCCACUAGCUAUUCCUGACAAGAUGAUUCCAGCUGAGAAGACCCGGUAAAACUCAAAAUAAAUCCCUCAGCAUAAAGUCGGCAUCCCCCAGUAUUAAAAUAGAACACGACUACCGCUCGACGCGCGUUUCGGCGCAAUCACACGCCUUUAUCAAGAGCUUCUGGCACGGCUGAGAGAGGGAUGGUAGUUAUAUACCGGGUAAGAUCCCGCCCGUAUGUUCACACAACCCAAUCAGCUUGCUUGUCGGUGAGGUCCCGCCCAUGUAUUUACAUGCUCCAAUCAGCUUGAUUGUGGAUAAGCUAGGGGCGGGGUUUCACCCCGAUCACGUACGCCUCAUUCAAGAGGUGUGUCUCACAAAGUAACUCGUAUGUAUGUAUACAACAUUAGCUAUCACCAUGGUGACGCAACAAACCCAACACAAUGCAGGUUGUCCGUCCACACAAGUUGCUCAAUUUGAAAACCCCAAUAAUUACAUAAAUUAGAAACAUAUUAGCCAUGUAUUCAAAGUAAGAUUGGCAUUAGUAAUCUUCCAGUGGAUAGAUUUAACUUCAAAUUAAAGGACAUUUAGAUUAUAAAGAGAGAAUGUAUAGUACAGGAUACUUACUACUGUCAAAUUUAAAUGUAGACAAGAGAUCCUAAAUUAUCUCUCAUUUCUAUCUAUCACUCAUUGUUUUUGCCAAUGGUUACUAGUAUAUUAUGAUGUUAAAGACAUAAAUGAGAAUUGGGACCCAAUUGCUUAAAGGACCACCAUUCACAUUAAUUGAGUGUUACUCCAUCAUAUGUGUUCAUUAUAUGUAUAUUAGGUCAUGAGUAUUACUCACGCAACUACUCGGUGAUAGCGAAUCAUAAAGUGUACCCAUGACUAAACAAAAUUAUGUAGUCAUAAAAAUACUAUGGUCAUGAUCUCUAAAGACUAUAUCAGUGCCAGUUUAAGGUAUAAGUACCAAAAAUUAUAGAUAAUGAUCAAAAAAAUUAUUCUUAUUAUUAUAUACAGACAAUGUGUGUAGGUCAUUAAAAGAUUUUAAUUAUAUAUAUUUGUGUGUAUUCCCAGACAUUAUAGUCAGUGUUAAUGACCCCAUCCAAAAUACAUUUGGGGACCAGAUAUUUAUAUGUAUUCCCAGACUUUAUAGUCAUUAUUGAUAAUACCAUCCAGACUAUAGUUGGGGACCAGAUAUUAUGGGACAACGCUAUAAUAAAGAUUAAAUGUAGGGGGAGAAGGAAAAACCUUCAUUCAAGCCAUUGGGGCUAAGAGAUUUGAGACUUUUUGCUUAACCUCCAACUGAGUAGCAAAGAUAAUUAUAUUUUCACUCAACCUCCCUCCAGACUCUCUUUUCUAUUUGCAACAAGUUUAGAAUAACUUUAUACGAUAGAUGUAUAUUCUAUGGAUACUAUUGAUUUAAUUCUAAUUUGUAUGCCCAAUAAAAUAUAUAAGAGUCUAUGACAAUUUAUGUGGAUUUUUCGGUAUAUAGGGAGUGGCUGUGUGAUAAUCUAUAUUAUACUCUUUAGUGCAAAUUUAAGCCUAAGAGACUUUAGCCACCCUAUUACCGUUUGAGGAUAUCCACAUUGCAUCUACCCAGUUUUUAUCUCACUUGUUGUUUUUUCACAAGUAUUUCACUAUUAUUACACUUUAUAGUUUUUUGUUUUUUGUCUAUAUGCGGCUUAAUAAAGGUUAUACCCAAUAAUUAUUUUACUAUCUUUAUGAGAUAUCUUUUUGUGUAAUGGAUGUCCAAUUUUUCCAUCUCUAAUGGAACAGCCAUUUCACUUUAGCUCUUUUCUUUUAUUUUAAAUUAUCGUGUGGGGUUAUGCCCCUUGAUAUCUCUGUAACCCUUUUGGAAUUUUGAUAUGGGCCUUGCCCAUUUCUAAUAUUUCCUCUCUUGUUCUUACUUGAGUGUUAUGUUUAUGUUUGAAUUCAGGGGUGUGUUUGUAUGUAGUGUUGGCUCUUACAUGCAGCUGUGUUAUUGUGUGUAGUACUAAUGAUUGAAUGAAGGGGUGUUUGUUUAUAAGUUUAGUGGUUUCAUUCAGGGGUGUGUUUCUAUGUAAUGUUUGCGUGUGAUUGAAGGGGUGUGUUUGUAUGUUGUGUAUGUAGGCAGCGCAGAAGGAGCGCUGAUGUGUUUCCAGUUUGUCACUGCUCCUCGUGCAUUCUGUGUUGAUGCAGGAGCUGCAAUAUGACAUUAAUCCGGCCCCGCAUUACUAAACAGCGCGAGGGAGCAGUAAGGAACUGGAAGACUGCAGGGAGACUUCCAGGGAGAAUAUCUCCACUGGACCCCAGGGAGAAAAUCCCCACUGGACUCCAGGGAGAAAAUCCCCACUGGACCCCAUAGAGAGGAACCACGACAAGAAACAGCACCAGGGCACUCAAGACGACACAAUCACUACAGAGAGCAGUAGGGGUUAUUUUGCAUACAGGAGUGGUUCCCAACCUUUUUUGGCAACGGCAAACUUCAAUAAGAGUCCCAUUUUUUAGGCACACCUGUUUUCUUUUUCUUUUUAACUUUAUUAACAGCUUAUAAAUGUCACAUGUAUUUCAAUCUUACUAGUAGCCAGCGAUACUUCUAGCCAAACCAAAUUAUUAGUAUAAAGUAAUUGCAUUAAGAGAAUUACAAUAUUAAUGCUGAUAGUUACUAAAAAGCCCAUGUUCUGGACUCAUUCCAACCUACAGAAGCUCUAAAUGAAAACCAUCUCCAUAGUGUCCCUUUAAUACAAGUCACAGGUGUUUUCUUUAAAGAUGUAAUUUCCGGAGAAGUGAUAGUUCCACUUGAAGUGUCCUUGCAUUUAAUAAUAUGUUAAAUUUGAGGCACCCAAUUAUUUCUUCCUUCCAAAAAUAUAUGAGGUUACAUUUAUACAACCACAAUACUUUAAAUAGUCAUAAAAUACAAAAAGUAUUUGUUGUAGUAAGGUAGAUGCAGGUGAUGGACAAGGUGAUGGAUUCCUGCUAUACACGGCCAAUUAGGUUAAGUUCAAGCUAAGCUACGGCUGGAGAAACUAUAGGGAUGGUGUGGUAGACUAGCUGUAGAAUGAUUGGGCAGACUAGUCACCUUAAAAUCUGUUUUACUGCGUGAGCUGAUAGCUCCUUGUAAGUGACCUACCAACAGCAAUAAAACUAGCGAUUAAGCCAACAACCUCAAAAGGGUGACAACCCUGCACACAAUGGCACAAAAAUCAACUAAAAAAAGCAAGCAAAAACCCACUUUACAGAUCGCAACGUUACCCUCACCACACUUACAAGAUGGUGCCGACAGGCCGCGCUCGCCAGCCUCCUACUUGGACCACAGUGACAGCACUUGUAUCUUAACGCAUACCUCGAUUCCUGCAACGGAUUCUUCAAUUCCAAAAAUGCUCUCAGACUUACAGUUGACUAUUCAAGCUGAAUUUGCUAAACUAGCAAGAGAUGUGCGGGCUGAUAUCCAGGCAAUAGCGGAAUGGACAGCGCAACUUGAAGAUAAAAUGGAAGAAAUAAUUUAAGCUCACAACAACAACCAACACGGACCUUCAUGCUAAAAUAGACCUUCUUACAGAGAAAGUGGCUGAUCAUGAGGACCGAGACAGGCGUAGCAACAUUCGUCUGCGGGGAAUUGCGGAGUAAAUUUCCACCCAAGAGCUGUCCAGGUAUGCGAGGGAAUUCUUCAAAGCCAUAGUUCCUGACUUGCCAGAAUAAGAGCUUCUCUUGGAUCGCAUUCAUUGACUACCAAGGCCAAGGAACUUACCUCAAUCAGCACACAGAGAUGUCAUAAUGAAGCUGCACUACUUCACUACUAAAGACCGGAUCAUGCAAGCCUCGAGACAUCUGGCAAACCUACCAGACCGGUUCUCAUCAGUAAGGCUCUUCACUGAUUUAUCAGCCUCCACACUCCAGAAACGUAAGGCCCUGGCUCCCAUCACCCAAGCCUUAAUAACAAUGAAGCUACAACACAAGUAGGGAUUCCCAGCCCGCAUUAUUAUAUGCCACAAUUACGCCAUGAGACUUAUUAUGACAGUGGAAGUGUCACGGAGUAUUAACCCUAACAUGCAGAGUUUAGGAUAGCAAGGAAUGGACUAAUGAAAUAUAAACCUCUUACCGGGCCUUAGAGUAGACAGAAUAAAGUGUAGUCGAAAUACGAGCCAAGAUCAGGGUAACGGGGAGACAGCGAAAACGAGAACUAGCUAGAGUCAGGUACACGGUAAAUAUCAUAAGGGCAAACAAGACAGGCAAGAGUUAAAGAGAAACUCAGGAAAGUCAUGAAACAAAACCAAGGUCAAUACCAGAAUACAAUACAAAACACUAGGAACGCACUGAAGGGUACUGGAAACAGAAACUACAAUAGGGCACAGAAUCUAGGGCCAGGUAAGUUUAAAUACUUUUACUUUUAAUUUGCAUGAAUGGGGGCGCCGGAAUGAUGUGGGCCAAUGGGAGCCGACCGCAAGGUUACACUCCCAUUUCCCCUUUAAGAAAGUGCUCUCAAUACUGUACGGGCUGUGCGCCCGAUCAGACUGUUUGGUGUGCGUGGCCCGCCAGGAGCAAUGAGUUUUCGAGCUGCAUGUGGCUAGCAUGAAGACAGGAGUGCUCGAGCCACAUGCGGCACGAUCAGAGGACCCCUGCCGGCACACAGACCGGGUAAGUAUUGUUACAGGAAGAAGGAAGGAAGCUGCUCAGAGAAAGGAAGAUCAAUAUGGCAACACCGAGAGAAUAAGAAUUGCUCGGACCUGCACACUGUUCACCAACGAAAGUCAUCUCAGACUGGCAGAAAGUUGCCACGAUAAAGUGACUGUGAUCCACCCUGCAGAUCGAUUGCAGAGAUGCUCAUCCACUGCUAACAGAUAAGAUGCCUUAGUCAAGGGCCUAAGCCCCUGUUAUGUUUUUUUUUUAAUUGCUAUAUAUGUAUAUGUUGGUUAAUAGGUUAAAGGACCACUCUAGGCACUCAGACCACUUCAGCUUAAUGAAGUGGUCUGGGUGCCAGGUCCAGCUAGGGUUAACCCAUUUUUUUAUAAACAUAGCAGUUUCAGAGAAACUGCUAUGUUUAUGAAUGGGUUAAGCCUUCCCCCAUUCCCUCUAGCAGCUGUCUCAUUGACAGCCACUAGAGGCGCUUGCGUGCUUCUCACUGUGAUUUUCACAGUGAGCGCACGCCAGCGUCCAUAGGAAAGCAUUGAUAAUGCUUUCCUAUGCGACCGGCUGAAUGCGUGCGCAGCUCUUGCCGCGCGUGCGCAUUCAGCCGACGGGGAGGAACAGAGGAGGAUCGGAGGAGGAGAGCUCCCCGCCCAGCGUUGGAAAAAGGUAAGUUUUUACCCCUUUCCCCCUUCCAGAGCCGGGCGAGAGGGGGUCCCUGAGGGUGGGGGCACCCUCAGGGCACUAUAGUGCCAGGAAAACAAAUAUGUUUUCCUGGCACUAUAGUGGUCCUUUAACAACAUUUAAAAUAUGUACUAUCUUAGACUUCAGGAUACACCUGAAUGAGGAAGUCUUCAGGGUCAUGUGUCCACCAUUUACUGGCUUCAGCCCCACCAACGCAUUGGAGUAGGUCCACUCCUCACAGACGACCCACCCCCAAAGCUUGCAAGAGCCAUGUUUCCGUCGUCGGUGCGUAGCCUCACCACCUUUGACUACAUUCUGUACAGAGUUAUGACUUUCGUUUUAUGUUUCCCAUAUUGUUAUUUUUAUUCCCCCAUUUCUCAGAUAACAGCUCAGUCCAUAACACUUCUACAAUUGGUACACAGCACCCUAACAUACCCGAGUUGUAGGAAGGUGGCCUACUUUCCCCAGAGGCAACACAGUUCACCCCCUCUCUAAGGAAAUAUACUCCUUAGAUUUAAGGGGUCUAAACACACAAGAAUUGCAGACUUGAUAUCACUGGGGAGACAAAAGAUUGGUCAACGACAGGUGGCAAAUAAUCAGAAGCCAUAAACACACAUGGCAACCAAGCUGUGACCCCUAUCUGAGACAUAGCAGUUUGUCUUCCUACAAGUUUACUGAAAAAAAAUGUAAAAAUGUUUUAAACAAAAAUACAAACAAAUAAGCAAAAAUAAACAAAAUAAAAAGGUGACCCCCAUGUUGGAGGGUAGCUGGUAAAGUCCCCCUGUCAACGGAGUGGGAGCAAUCCAAAUACCAAAUGAGUCUUAUCCCCCACUAUGGCGCUAAAUAUAAUGUCUAUCAACGUUAAGCGGUUAAAUUACCCUAACAAGCGUAGAUUGACACUAACAGAAGUGAGAAAACACAAUGCACAUGUACUCUUCUGCCAAGAGACCCACUUCAUAUUUAAUUUCAAACACUUCCCACAUGUUUCCACUCUUGUUUCAAAUGCAAGAAAAGGGGGUAUCAGUGUUAAUUAGCGGAGCCGUCUCUUUUAAUCUAGUUAAAAAAAAAACUGGGGGACAAAGCAGGCAGAUACCUAUUACUACAAUGUUAUGUGAAUAAUGAACCUUACACCUUUAUCAAUAUUUAUGGCCCGCAUUAUGACCAUCUCCCUUUUUUGACAAAAUCUUUGUUCUGGCAACACUGCACAAAUUCGGGGAAGGUAGUCAUCGGGGGAGAUACUAAUUUUAUAUUAGGCCAAUCACUUGACUCCACUUCGGCGGACAAGGUCUCACACACCACAUGCAUGAAAAGAGAAAAUUCCUCUGCCAAACUAAGAAACAAACUACUACAACAUAAUUACUUAGACUCUUGGAGGGUAUUACACCCGAUAGAGAAGGAUUUUACAUAUCAUUCCAUGGUAGACAACACAUACACAUGAAUUGACAGGUUCCUUCUGCCCUGUUUCCUAGAAACGAAAAUCCAAGACACCAAGAUUGGAUUAAUAACAUGGUCAGACCAUGCUCCGAUCACCCUGUCCCUACACGAAAGAUUUCCUACCGCAGAUUCAGGUGCCUGGAGACUUACUGCUUCACGAUGCGUCAAUAGUGGCAACAGUACAACAAGAUUUAAAAGACUAUCUCAAACUCAACUCCCCUGACGACACAAAUAUUGAGAAUUUUUGGCCAUUUAUGGUCACUAGGGGAAGUUUAUAAAGGCAGCUAGCUACGAAAAAAACAGAGACUCAAAAUAUAUACUAAAACUAUUCAAGAUCUUGCCGACCUAACACACAAAAACAAAUUUCACCUACCACUCAGAACCGACUGAGACUCUUGCAAAACAAAACAAAAGAAUUAGAACUAGCAAAAACCACAUACAUACUCUGAAAAUGCAAGUAUAAAUUCCUUGCCCAGAGCAAUAAACCAGGGGCUCAAUUAGCUUCCCAACUACAAGCCCGCAUGUAUCAUUCUAAAAUAGCACAUAUAUCACCAAAGAAAAAGGGAAAAUGCUAAACCCUCAAGAUAUUGUUAACGCAUUCACUACAUACUACAGCACACUGUACAAUUUUAGAGACAACCCUGACACCCGAACGCCAACGGUGAAAGACAUCAAAACAUUCCUAGAAUCAGUGAAUUUACCUCACCUCCUACCUGAAGAGAUUGAAUGGAUCUCGGCACCUUUUAGCACAUAAGAAAUCACGGAGGCUAUUAAAAACCUCCCAGCAUACAAAUAGCUAUUACCAAACCUUUGUAGAGAUUCUCUUCCCACACUUAUCGACCCUCUUUAAUACCUGCUACACCAAAUGAACCCUCCCUAGUGACAUGUUACUAGCUCACAUAUCUACUCUACCAAAGCCAGGAAAACCAGUCACCACCUGCCCAAACUUCUGCCCUAUCUCCCUCUUGAACGCAGAUGUGAAAUUGUAUGCCAAAAUAUUAGCAAACAGAAUGGCAACAUUUAUAACACGCAUAGUUCAGACAGAUCAAUAGGGUUUUGUUCGCAGCGGGCAGGGAUCAGAUAAUAUGCGCAAAAUAUUGAACAUUAUCUCACAUUUAGCAAGAACAAACAUAGAUAUAAGGAUGCGCCUAAAACUUGAUAAAAUAAAAGACUAAAUUAGUCGAAUAAAAUACAGAAUAAAAUAAGUAAUAAAACAAUAGUCCAAUAAAAUAGGCUUAUCACAGUCCGUGAGGGUAGGUCCCACUUGUAAAGGAAUAUUCUUUAGGGUGUAGGUGGGAUCAUAUCUUCAAAUGUUGAGAAUUCAGCAUAUGUGGAGAGAAAAAUAAAAACAGGACUCCAAUGGCACAGUAAAUCGGUGUAUAAAAUAAAUAUAAAGGUAUAAAAUCAGUCUUACUCACACUUUUCAGAGCUAGGAUCAGCUCUGAUAUUGCUCGCGUAAAGUGGAAUAAUCCCCACUUCAAGGAUAUAUGGAGUAAAUGUUGAUUGUUGAAUAUCUGACGUGGGUUCAGCGUUCAAUUUGACGUGAUACGACCCAGAGGAAAAAAUAAAAUAAAAUAUAUAGUGCUCACUGUAUGUAAUAAAAUUAAAAGAAAGUAAAGUACAGCAGACUCAAAACUGCUCAGUGAAGGCGCUCAGGUGGUAUAAUCCCCACCUAUGGAUUCUUUGCACUUCCUGCAGGGUGAGCCGUAUACGUAAAAGCAAUAAAAGAAAAUGUAUGUAAAAUCAGGUAAAGGAAAAAGCAAAUGGCUGAACCCACGUCAGAUAUUCAACAAUCAACAUUUACUCCAUAUAUCCUUGAAGUGGGGAUUAUUCCACUUUACGCGAGCAAUAUCAGAGCUGAUCCUAGCUCUGAAAAGUGUGAGUAAGACUGAUUUUAUACCUUUAUAUUUAUUUUAUACACCGAUUUACUGUGCCAUUGGAGUCCUGUUUUUAUUUUUCUCUCCACAUAUGCUGAAUUCUCAACAUUUGAAGAUAUGAUCCCACCUACACCCUAAAGAAUAUUCCUUUACAAGUGGGACCUACCCUCACGGACUGUGAUAAGCCUAUUUUAUUGGACUAUUGUUUUAUUACUUAUUUUAUUCUGUAUUUUAUCUGACUAAUUUAGUCUUUUAUUUUAUCAAGUUUUAGGCGCAUCCUUAUAUCUAUGUUUGUUCUUGCUAUCUGUUAUCAUUAGGGGAUUAUUGGGGACUCCCCUUUGAGGAUUGCUGCCUUUCUUAUAAUUUUAUUGUGGCAAUUUAGCGCUGUUUUCUUUCUCUUUUUCCAAAUAUCUCACAUUUGCAGGAGUCGAAGAGAGAAGGUCUUCUCCUAGCAUUAGAUUCAGAGAAGGCCUUUGACAGGCUCAAUUGGCGAUACAUGAAGAGAGUUCUCAUGCAAUUUGGUUUUCCGCGGGCAUUUACAGCAGGAAUCGCCCAGCAGCCAGCGUCUGCAACACUGGGUUUAUUUCCACCACAUUCCAAAUCACCAAUGGCUCUAGACAGAUCCCUGUCACCACCUCUCUCCCCAUUGCUGUUUAUUUUCUCUGUGGAGCCAUUGGCGUAUAAAAUUAGACACCAUCCUGCUAUACAUGGGGUGAAUAUAGGCAACGACAGCUACUGCCUCUAAAUGCUUACAGAUGACAUACUACUAACCUUAGAACAACCGACCACCUUGGUACCGGCUCUCCGCCAAUUGCUACAAGAAUAUGGGAACAUUUCCCAUUACAAACUAAACCAAUCAAAAACACGAGCCUUACCCGUUGAUCUACCAACACAUGUGGUACACUAACUCUCGCAGCAAUACCAGUUUGACUGGAGAAAGUCUAGUCUGACUUAUCUAGGGGAUAAGUUGGCACCCUCUCUACAAAAUACAUCUAAUAUGAAUUACAAAACCUUGCCUAGCAUAUGCACCACAGCCUUCUCAAAAUGGAAGUUGGUAAAACUCUCAUGGCUGGGAAGAGUUAACACAACUAAAAUGGUCAAUCUGCCCAAACUCCUGUAUGUCUUCAGGAUAUUACCCCUACCUAUGCCCCUCUCUCUCUGCAAACGCCUGCAGAAAAUCAUUAGUGCAUACAUUUGGGAGUACCAUAGACCCCACAUACCACUCUCACUCAUGCAAAAACAUCCAACUUAGGGAGGAGUGGGUCUACCCAGCAUAGCGGCUUUCCACAAGGCUUCCUUGUUGUUCUCUGCAAUUAAAAUGCAUGAACGCAAGGGUACACUACAGUGGGUUGAUAUUGAGAAUUCCCGGGUGAAUGGCUCCACACUAACCAACAUUAUGUGGACACCCAAACACCUAAGUGCGAAACCUUUAUGAUUGUUCCCAACCACACAACUAUCCAUUGCCCAGUGGGAUCAAUUCAUGACACAGCUGGGAGGGUCUCAUAAAUAUCGCUACAACACACUCUUGUCAGCACUAACAGCUGAGCUCUCUCUCCCUGGCUCACCUUUAAUUCAUGGAUCAGCAUGGGAAUACGCACUAUAGGAGAUUUCUACCAAAGCAAAGAGAUCAUGGGGGGGCGGAGCUAAGCAACACACUGAGCUAGACGCCAUUUCCCUGAGCUCCGACCACGCCACCAAAUAAAGCAACAAAAUCCCCGAAACCGAGAGUCUAACCGGCGAAAAAAUGUCACCAUCAUACAGGGGAAGCGGCCCCGAGCAGGCAGAUGCCAUUCAUUUUCCCCACGAGUGGCAAAAACCGACGGCGGGGAACUGGGCCUACAGCGCGGGAAUCCCGCAGGACCUGAAUGCAGCAUACUGGGGCUUCCUGGACACUGGAGGUAACUUGCAUACGGCAAACAGCCAACAAACCCCUAAAGAACCAGACAUGGGGCGCAAAAAGCCCACUUCACCUACCCUAAAAGACGGGCAAGACAUCGGUCAGAUGCUGGUGGCCCCUGCACGCACGAGAGGUAUGACAGCUACACAGCUAGAGGCUACUCCAACACCGCCCACGGCGGGAAUAGUAAUACCUGAGGCCCCAGCCAUAGCAAACGGAAUGGCCCCAAUCACAAAGGAGGACAUUCACAAUUUACUCAUGCAUAAAAAUCCGAGGGGUAGCAGACUCGCUCCCCCCUGAAGAAAUUCCCCACUUCAUAAGGCGUUUGGCAGCAACCAUCUUACCUGUGAAAUCCGCCAAACAAUUCACCUUUGAUGGUGCAUACCGCAUCACAAAAUCCUCACAAGCGCCCACCACGGCACCUAGAGACAUAAUCCUGUGCUGUCCAAACGUUGCAGACAAACAAAGGCUCCUCACGGCACUUAAAGGGAAAACCCCGCUCCACUUUGAAACACACAACAUUACCCUCUUUCAAGACCUCAGCAGGCCCACCCUAUUAUGGAGAAAAUCGAUGAAACCCAUAACUGCAGCUCUACAAACUGCGGGACUAGCCUACGGCUGGACUUACCCGAGAUCUCUCACAGUAUUUCGAGAGGGAAAGGCCCUGCGAGUAACAAGCCCCACAGAAGGUCCGGCCUUCCUUCAGUCCCUGGGCAUAAAGGAAGCAACCCCAUCGACGAGGUCCAAUCACCAAUGGGACGUAACGGCAACCACUCCCUUUGUGCCAUGGAACGAACGGGACUCACUGACUUAAAAACGUAAAGUCCGGAAAAGAAGCAACUGUUUUUGUUUUAGUUUCAUCCUUUGCUUUUACGCAUUACUUAUGUUUGACCAUGUUACCUACAUGUGCCUAACUAUGGCUAGAUACCACUGAUAACCAUACAACCGCUACAUGGCGGUCCACCAAGUGCUGCAAUAGCGACACGAACACACCCCCAAUAGAUAGCUCUCAAUGCCCCAAAAGAUAUAGGGGGUUUAAAGCUUACAAUAUCCCCUCCCCCUCCCCCAUAGCCUCAUGGGUUAGAGGCCUCACAACACCUGGGAGACACACUAACGCCACAGACACAUAGUCUCAUGUUUCUUAGCCUACACGAAGGAAAAGGCGGACACUUCGACUACACACCACCAGGCUCCUGGGCACCACUCAUCUACCGAUAGUUAUCAUUUGAACAUAAAAAUAGGUGAACACACUAGACAUCAUUGUUUGCAAAUACUGCACAUGGUUAUAUACUGUGAUACAAUGAAACUGCUGUAUUGUCAUAUAUCACCUGCCAAAAUAAAGAAUUUAAAAAAAAACAAAGAGAUCAUAUCGUUCCCAGACCUCCAAAACACAUACCACUUAACAAAUCAUAUGUAUUUCAGUACCUACAGCUGAAAAGUAUUGUCAUGUCUCAUGUACAAACACAAGAAGCCACUACCCCACAUUUAACUGUUGUGGCCCACAAAAUGUAUGAUAGAUGCUGUAAAAAUCAGACACAUCCCAAGACCUUAUCGAUCUGCUAUAAAGCAUUGAGAGAGAUAGGGCCUGAUAUACCGUUUCCCUUUCUCAAACACGGACAACAAGAAACAGAAUGUGACUUGUCUCCCCGCGAAUGGCUGGCCGCGAUAAACGCACUGAGAGGUAUUACUAAAUCUUACUCCCAUGUAGAGGCACAUAGGAAGCUCAUCUACAGAUUGUAUCACUCCACAUAAAAUGCAUAAGAUGUACCCUACGACUUCCAAGAACUGCUGGCGCUGCAACCAUACUGACACACGUUUGGUGGUGAUGCCCAACCAUAGCCCAACUAUGGGAUUUGGUAGCACACACAUUGUCGAAUCUGGGGUUACUAGAUAUCAAACUGAACAUACAUACAGCACUGUCUCCAUGUUAGCUUGCAACUAGUCUUUCUGUCACUAUAUAAAAAUGUGCAUUGUAUUUCCAACUCAUGCCUUGCUAAUCCUUUUCAUUAUAACUUACAGAAAAUGUAAAAAAACUUAAAAUCGAAAAAAAUCUGUUUUACGAGAAUGUAAAGAAAAAUACAGGUAUAACUGUUUAUUUGUGUUAGCAUUUCAUGGUUCACUGGUUUUUAAUAAUUAAUUUAAUCUUACCUGCCAUGCAACACAUUAAAAUUGAGAUUUUAUGCUUUGUUGGACCACAUCCAACCCACUCCACAUGUGUCGAUUAAACCUAUACUAAAUCAUGCAUAGAGAUUUUAAAAGGUUAGACUCACUGUUGUUCGGCCGGGGCACAUAACGAUGCUGUCAGGAUCUGCCCUAGACUGAUCAUCUGUACUGAGCAAGUUUAUUUUAUAUUACCCAUUAUUUAUUUCGAGUUUGCCUCCAUUCAUGAGGGGGGAAAAAUCACCUUAAACAGGUGUAAGUUUAUCAGGUAAGGAUGUUGGAUUUGUGUUCAGAAAUUAAACUGAAGGAUGUUUUAAUCAGAGAUGCUUAAAAUAAAUUAAGGAAAUAACUGAAACCUGAUUCAUCCCUACUUUGUCUUAUGUUUUUAAAGAGAAAUAAAUCCAUAUUUGGAGAGAAGAAGAGCAGAUAAAACAACUGUAGAAAGUAAGGUUUGGGGCGACAGAGCCACUUUUUAUAAAAAGCACCUCUUAUAUAAUGCAUCAUUAAAAAUACUUUAAUGCAUUUUACAGCUUUGAGCCUUAAUUACCUGUAUGUUUGCAUCCUCAAUUAGCUCAAUCUGUAUUGUUUGCAAAAUAUAUAAACAUGUAAAUAUUUUGCAACAUUUUGUAAGCCUGUCUCCUCUAUCAUUCUCACGUCCUCUAUGGUAAAACUAUUUUGCAGGUUACUGUAGCCUGUAUUUAAUGUCAUAGGUCUCUUUCACUGCAUCCCAACCUGCAGUGUUUCUCCAAUAAUAUAGACCUUUGUGUCAUCAAGAAGCAAUGAAAGGGUAUAGUUUAAUUGUAGCUCAGCCAAUAGAUUUCUUAAUGAAAUGCCAUAAAAAAAACACUAAAUUACAACUUUCACACAACUCUGAUCUGUCCAUCAUAAAAUCUUGUCAUGCAGAGAUUUAAAGGAAUGCAAUAGUGUUAUGAAUUCAAAGCUGUAUUCCUAAUACUAUAGGAACCCGCUCCCGCCGCCCCCCACGCCCUCUCCCCAGCAAUAUAAAAGGUUAAAUUUAAACUUUUUUCACUUACCAGAUUCCAACGCUGAUGUUCCUUGAUGCUGGGUCGGGCUCCUCCACCAAUGUCAGCCAAUGGGGAAACCUAAUGCAAAUCUUUGGCGAGGACCACACACCGCACAUCACACACACUGCAGGAAACGCAUCUAGUGGCAUUCUGGUAGAAUGCCACUUGAGGCAAUCUUAACACUGCAAUGUGAACAUUUCAGUUUCUCUAAAACUACAUUGUUUUACAUUGCAGGAUAAAGAAAACAGAGACACUGCACACAGACAAAUUCAAUGUAAUGAAGUGUUUUGGGUGGCUCCAGUGUCCCUUUAAGGGAUAAAUUCAGCCUUCUGGCUCUGCAGUGCAUAUAGUUCACUUGUUAUAGAUAGCAUGUUAUACAGCUCUCUCUCCUGACAUGCCUAGUUUAAGUUCUACCUACACCAUGCUUUAUGUUUUCCUAAUCUACUAUGUCUGAAAUACAUAAUCUGUUUGCACACCAAUAUAACUAUCUCUAUUUGGACAUGUUCACUAGCCUGCUUCUUAUAUCUUUACAACCAAACAAAAAAAAGUGCAGCACCUCUUGACCUUCUAUGCUUAUAUAUUGUCAUUUGUCAUUACAAAAGAUUGUACAUAUCACUGCAUGCCUAAAAUAAAGAACUUUUAAAACAAAGUGUGUUUUGUACAUACUAUUGUGGUUGUUGCGCAUUGCUUGAUUUUUGCACACAAAUAAUAUUGAAAGUUGAGGUGGGUUUUUAAAAUAUUUACACUUGUUUAUGUUAAGACACAGUUUUGUGUAAUGGUGCACCCAUUCAUAGGAGUCAUGCUCGCAUAGGAUUUUAUUAUCACCCUCUCGCCCAUUUGUACAGAGAGCACUACUUGGUGUUCUUCUGUGUUUGUCCAAUUUUGUUAGGACAUUCUGCACCACUCGUUCCUUCUUGUCUUGUUUUUAAUGUAACACCAGAUCCAAACUACUACAAGAAAUUUGAUCUCCUCAAGGGAAGAAAGAUAAACAUACCUGAGACUGUAUGCUAUUUAUAUAUAUUUUUUGUUCUUUUAUUAUUGCAUUGUUCCAGGCAAUAAUUGUUCCCUAUAAUUUAAUUUGUUGUUUUACUUUAUUUGGUCUCCCUACUAUAUUUUGUCUUUUAGAAGGUAUAAUAGUUUUUCUUGUUAUACAUAUUUUCUUUGCCUGUCUGAAAUACAGGUACACAGAAAUGCAGAGGAAAUCAUGUGAUGCUAAUGCUAUUCAUGUCUGUCAAAAAGUCACUCAUGAAACACCAUGCUUACGGCCAGGGCCGGCGCUACCUGUAAGGCGACCUAGGCAGCCGUCUAGGGCGCAACUUAGCAGGGGGCACCGGAUCCCUGCACCUGGAAUCACGCUGCAGCUCCAACAUGCUGCGCCGACUAAGCGCUUUAGCAAGCCUCAGGCGGCGCAGCACUGCUGUAUGGAGGGCGGCCGGAUUUGAGCGACUGGCAGGAGGGAAGCGCAGAGCACUCCCUCCUGCCGGUCUCUCAAUGUAGCGUGGCCGGCCGGCACGGAACGCGGGACAGGACCACUGGAGGAGGAGGGGGGACUAAGGACCACUGGGGGAGGAGAAGGAGGGGGGACUAAGGACCACUGGGGGGAGAGGGGGACCAAGGACCACUGGGGAGAAGGGGACCAAGGACCACUGGGGGAGGAGGGGUGGGACUAAGGACAACUGGAGGAAGAGGGGGCACUAAGGACCACUGGGGGGAGGAGUGGUAGGAGGAGGGGGGACUAAGGACCACUGGGCUGGAGGAGGAGGGGGGACCAAGGACCACUGGGGAGAAGGGGGGACUAAGGUCCACUGGGGGAGGAUGGUGGGACUAAGGACCACUGGGGGAUGUGGAGGGGACACUAAGGACCACUGGGGAGGAGGGGGACACUAAGGACCACUGGGGGGAGUAAGGACCAAUGGUGGAGUGGGGGAGUAAGGACCACUGAGGGAGGAGGGGGGAAGGUCCACUAGGGGUUUGCCAGAGGGAGGACCACUAAGGGGGGGGGAGAGGGGAAGGACCACCAAAGGGGGGAGGGAGGGAGGACCACUAAGAGGGAGAGGGGGGAGUGAGAAGACCACCAAUGGGGGACUGCAGAGGGACAGGGGGCCAAGGGAGAGCACUAAGGGACAGAAAGGGAGAACACUAAUUGACAGGAGGGGAGAGCACUAUGAAAAAUUUUAACAAAAUAAAGAGCUGCUCCCCUCUCAGUCCCUAUCCUACCCCACAAACCCUCUCUUUUACACUACACACAUACACAAUUCAUCCCCCCCCCCACACACACACACACACAGAAACAUACAAUGCAUCCUUACUCACACACAGACACACCCGAAACACACAAUGCAUCCCUUACGCUCACACAAACACUCAUUCUCUUACACACAGAAACAAAAUGCAUCUCUUACACACUCAAUGCACCCCUUACAGACACACACUGCAUUCAAUUACAUACACAGAAACACACCUUGCAUCCCUUACUCACACACACCCAGAAACAAACAAUGCAUUCCUUGCACGCAAACACACACUGCAUCCACUAUACACACACUACAUCCCUUACACAAAUUGGUAUCCCUAUACACUACAUUCUAUAAGAACACACACACAUUACAUCCUCUACAAUAACACAUAAAACAUCCCCUACACACAUACACUCCACUACCUGUGAGAGAACUCAUGGGUGGGCCAUGUAGGUGGAUUUAUUGGUGGGCAUUGUAGGCAUACUCACGGUCAAGCCCUGGGGGUCCAGACAUUGAGCUGUGUAAGGGGCCCCAAAAAAUGGCGCUGCUUCCUGUUCUACACCAGACCUGUGGAGCCAGACUGAGCCCAUCAUCAGCCUCUUGUCCUCAUCUGGUGGUAAGUAGGCAAUCCAAUAUAUUAUUAGUGGCACUAAUCUCUAAUUUACCUCACAUUAAAUGGAUACUAUAGUCACCAGAAGCACUACAGGUUAAUGUAGUGGUUCUGGUGUCUAUAGCCUUUGCCUGUAGACUUUUUAAUGUAAACACUCUGUCUUUUCAGAUAAAAUGUGAAGACUGGCGUUGGCUCAUAUGGCAGAACAUAUGGGUGGGGUAUUGUGAUGUCACAUGGUGGGCAGGAAAUAUGGGGGGGGCGGCAAAUUUUUUUUUAGCCUAGGGCGGCAAAAAUCCUUGCACCGGCCCUGCUUACAGCAACAAGGGGCCUGAUCCCGUUCCUCUGGGGACAAACAACUUCCCCCAGCAUUCAGCAAUGGAUGCAGAGAAUUGAGAAAAUACAUAUGACGGAAGCGGUAAUUGCGGCCGCCAACCUCAUGACUGUAAAAUAUAUAGCCAUAUGGUCGCCUUGGAUCCAAUAUUUGUCUAGAGGAUUACCUUAAGAGUAUGGCGCACACAUACCACACACACACACCCUCUUCCAAUUCCCACUUCCCAUCCUCUCACUUUCCCACGCCUCCUCCCCCUUUUUUAAUAUUCUCUUUUUCUUACUCUCUCCACACCAUAUUCUCUAAACUUAGUCUUACUUUCUUUUCACCUCCAACUAAAUCUUAUCAUCCGAGUGAGCUAAAGUGGUCUAUCCUGACAUCUUAUAUGGAGGUAAAAGCCCAAAGUGUUUCUGUACGAUUUCUUGCUGCCAAAUGAGCAGGAGAAAUUAUAUCUAGCCCGACUUGGGGUAAAGACGAAUAUAAGCACUUAGCUAAUGCAAAUAUAUCUCACUAGUCCUGCCCAGCAAUACAUUUUGAGAAGAUACACAACAUGCCUCCACACCGGAGCAAUGUCGCAGUCUAUCACUGUUAUUUACUGUUCGUAACAUAUCUCUGUAAUGUUGGAAAUAAAGAUUGUCAAAAAAAAAAAAAGAUUGGCAUUGCUAAUACUACUGAAAUUUUAGAUCAUUGUUGCACUUUACAUGAGUGUUCACUCUAUUUUAUUUUUUUUGGCACUGUAGUUAGACUGAUACAGUUUUGAUACAUUUGAUUCAAUUGCUCUAGUAUUUAAUUAUUUCUUAAAAAGAAAAAAUUUGAAGUAUAAAUGGCAAAGCCAUUUUUAAGAUAAUGACCUAUUUCACUAGCAGUCCUAAAUAUAAUUUUGUGGCUAGGUAGAAGUGCUAACUUUAACUUAAGAUACUAAAUGCAGAUACAUUACUAUGAAAACUGGUCUUUUGUCAAGCGAUAAAAUGUAUUUCCCUUCAUUUAAUACAUUUUAAGAUCCAAUCAUUGCAAAAUUGCAAAACCCUCUGCAAACUUCACCCAUCACACAGGCACAGGAAGGGGUGAAGGUUUUAGCUUUGCAAAUGAAACGUCGAUAACAUGAAAGACUUCCUAAAUUCUGAAUCAAUUUAUGAGAACAAAAGAAAUUGAGUCAAACCGAGGAAUGCUUUUGUGUUAUAAAUCCAAUUUACGUUGUUUACUGUAAAACAAAUUCUUUGGGAGUUUUUUUUUUCCUGCAAUAAUCUGUCUACUACCACCCAGCUAAGAUGUUUGUGCUAACGCCAUUAUCGUUGUUAUAAUGAUUUUUUUCCUUUUUACAUUGAAAAGGCCAAUUCCGAGCUAACGCGCAUUGUGUUUUCUUCAAGAAAGCACAUUGAAAACCGCAAAAACAUAUUUAGAUUGUCCAAUAAAGCAGGAUUUAGUGCACUGGAAAAAGAAAUACUUAUCUUGAGCAUUGCAGGGAAUAUGACCAGUACAUGCUCUCAAAUCACCAUGAAACAAAUAUACAGUUUAUUUAUAUUCACUGAAACACUUCAUACUAAAAUGUUAAACUUCACAUAAUACUCCAUACUAAUAUAUUUGCGGAAUUCUAGGCAACUGGUAAAAAAAAAAGUGAAAUAAAUAAAUAUGCAAAGGAUGAAGGCUAUUUAGUGUGUGCACACAUGGCCAAAAAUAAAUUAAUCUAUAAUGUUUCACACUAGUCACACACUCAUUUUUUGAAAAAUGCAAACAUUAAAAGACUACACUGCAACAUACUUAAUAAUAUAUACAGCAAACAGGCUGUCGUGGAUACAUUUACACCCCAGAGACAGCUUACAAAAAUAACAUUCCAGGUUUCAUGGAAUUAUUUCUUCCACUUUUACAACUUGCCAGUGGGAUUGCUCCUUAUGCAAAAUCCCACACUGUACGAGGGACAUGAGUUGAGAGGGCGACACUAUUUAGUCAACUGUAGUGAGAAAUUCAGCCAUCAGCCAUCCCCAGCUCUAGAUAAGCAUUUGUAGUAUCAAUGGGUAAACUAAACCUGUUCUCAAACUUGUGAUCACUUAAGAAGCAUGUGUGCUCUAAAUUCUAGUCUAAAAUUUAUUAUUAGGAUCAGUGUAACAUACAAACUUACAUAUGUAUUAUUGUAGAAUAUUGGUUGAUUUCAUUGGGAGAGCAUACAUGUAAAAUAAGAAUAAAAGAACCUCAUAGGGCAAUAUAGCACCUCUACCUCCCAGGCUCGCUGCCUAGGGGUUCUUUUUGAUUCUGAUCUCUCUUUUACUCCCCAUGUUCAAUCGAUAGCCAAAUCCUGUCACUUCCAACUCAAGAACAUAGCGCGCAUCCGCCCAUAUCUAACGCCGGACGCGGCUAAGGUACUGGUUCAUGCUGUUGUUCUCUCUCGCCUUGACUAUUGCAAUCCCCUUCUCACCGGUCUUACAUGUUCCCAGCUUGCACCGCUGCAAUCUAUAAUGAAUACGGCUGCGAGGCUUAUUUUCCUGUCCGGUCGCACCUCCCACGCCUCCACGCUCUGUCAGUCCCUGCAUUGGCUUCCAGUUAGAUAUAGGGCCCAAUUCAAAAUUCUGGCGCUUGCUUACAAAUCCCUACAUAAUGCUGCUCCAACAUACCUAUCUUCCCUCAUACACAAGUAUGUCCCGACGAGACCCCUGCGCUCAGCCCAAGACCUACUCCUAUCCUCUGCCCGGAUCCCCACCUCUGAUGCUCGCCUUCAAGACUUCUCCAGGGCUGCACCUAUUCUGUGGAACUCCCUUCCCUCCUCAAUCAGACUUUCACCCAGCCUCCAUUCCUUCAAAAAAUCUUUGAAAACUCACUUCUUUAUUAAAGCUUAUCAAUUACGCUGUCAGCAGGUUUCUCAUCCCCCACCCCUUAACUCCGUUCCUUCACCUUUCAAAAAUGACCUACCAAGCACUCAAUAAACCCUUCUGUAACAAACUAUUUAAUUCCCCUACUUUAACCCUUUGUGCCACUAUACCCCACUCCCUCUAGCAUGUAAGCUCAUCGAGCAGGGCCCUCAACCCCCUCUGUUCCUGUACAUCAGUGGUCUGAUCUCAAUUAUGUGUCUGUUAGUCCACCCAAUUGUACAGCGCUACGGAAUUUGUUGGCGCUAUAUAAAUAAUAUAAUAAUAAUAAUAAUAAUAGCACGAUAAAUUGUACGCAACAUAAAAGUUUAAAAGGGAACACUCACAAACAUAGAGCAGAGAAGCCUGCUCUAAACUGCAUUGACACAGAAGUUUUUAAAGAACAGGCACAUCUUUUAAUGGAAAGAUUUUCAGAUAAGAAAUAACCAAAAGAAUUGAAUAAUAAAGCUCACAACGAAAUGUUAGAAACAAACCAGGAGGAGCUUAUUAACAUUCGAAUAAGUGCUAACCAGAGUGUUAACCAAAACAGAUUGGAUAAAAUACCUUUGGUAUUUGAUUUUAAUGAGUCAAGUACGGAUAUCAAAUCUAUUAUUAAUAAACACUGACAUCUUUUAACCACAGAUUAUGAAUUGGCCAAAGUACUUCCUGAGAAACCUUUUAUUACAUUUAGGGGAGCCCCAAAUUUUAAUUUUCUCUUAACCCAUAAUCACCCUAAAAUAGAUAUUACAAGGCAUUUUUUGAAUAACAAAAAAGGUUUUUAUUCAUGUAGUAAGUGUAAGGGCUGCAAAGUAAGUAGGAAUUUAAAAGGUACUAGUAAAUUUAAGUCAAAGGAUAAUGAGAGAGAGUAUUUUAUUAAUGAUUUUAUCACGUUUCACUAGAAAUGUUGUAUACCUUUUAAUAUGCCCAUGUGGUUUGCAAUAUGUGGGUCGCACUAUCCGCCCACUACAUGUGAGAAUUAGUGAACAUGUGAAUAAUAUUUUUAAAUAAUACGCACAACAUAGUCUACCCGUUCAUUUUACAGAAAAUUACAAUAUGGACACCAAGGGGCUCAUUUUUUUUAUGUAUACAGGUAGUUAAAAAACCCUAUAGAGGAGGUAACCAUAUUCAAAUAGUCGGUAAGGAGGAAAUUAAGUGGGUAUACAGAUUGAAAACUUUGGUACCCCAAGGUCUGAAUAUAGAAUUUGACCUUUUUAAUUUCCUUUAAAAAACAUAAAAAAUAUUUUGAAUUAGUUAAAAUGAACUACUGAGAAGUAUACAAAUACAAAAUUGUGUUUGUUUGUGGACUUUUAUGGGACAUUUUUUUUGCUCAUUGAGGACUAAGUAUUGAAUUCUAAUUAUCUCAAAUGAUUCACACCCACCUUAUGGACAUAAAUAUGGAAUGUGGGCAUGUUGAGGGCAGAUCUGAGGAAGCCGGCAUACCGGUGAAACGCGUCAUCACGCCCUGACGUCACAUGCACGCCCCCCGGUGCCUUAGGGAACUUCGGACGCAACAUCCCACAGCCGGCAGUGGAGUAGCGGAAGUGAAAUCCUAUCGGUGGGGUGAGCUUAUGGGUCCUUUGGUGGCUGCUGCUGUUUUUAAAGUAUUGCAAUAAAGAUGGGAUAUUCUACAAUUUAUCAUCUAGUCCAGAGUGAUAUAUAUUGGAGCUAUUAAAGUUUAGAGCAGGCUUCUCUGCUCUAUGUUUGUGAGUGUUCCCUUUUAAACUUUUUUAUUGCGUACAAUUUAUCGUGCUAUAUUGCCCUAUGAGGUUCUUUUAUUCUUAUUUUACAUGUAUGCUCUCCCAAUGAAAUCAACCAAUAUUCUACAAUAAAACAUAUGUAAGUUUGUAUGUUACACUGAUCCACAUUUUUUUCACAAAUUGUGGCACUUAUAUUGCAUUGUGUUUGCACCAAAGUACUGUUGCACUUUCUAAUAUAUGCACCUUAAUUUAUUAUGUUUUAAGGGCAUGUUGCAAGUUUCACUAAUAUUGUCUUAAAGACACAGCGCAUCUUAACUUUCGUUUUAUGUCUAAAUUGUGUUCUGUAAGCUUAUACACUGUAAGGUGCGGCUUUCUUACCUCUGAUCUAUUUUAUUGCAUCUGUUUAGCGCCUAUUUUACUUGAUUUUGUUGUUUUUUUGUCUAAAAUGUAUUAUUGAAUAUAUCACGUAUUCCAAGUGUCCUGAGUCUAAAUGGAUAGUCCUGUUUGCACUGCGCCCAGGGACGUUUUAGCCGUGAGGCAAUCAAGGCAUUUGCCUUGGGCGGCAUUUUCCAGGAGGCGGCAAAAAAAGCCGCCCCCAAAUGCCCAGGGCAAAUGUCUUGUUAGCCUUGCGGCUAAGUGACAUGCCGGUGGGGCUGCUGGGCUGGCUGCAGAGUGAGGCUGGGAGCCGGAAUAUGACGUCAUAUUCCGGCUCCUGUCAUAACUCUGCGGUGCGCGAGGGAGCUGAGCAGAGAGCUCAGGGGGAAGUGCUCCCUCGCCAGCGCCGCCCGCCCAGCAGCCAGCCCAGCAGCCCGACCGGCAGCCUCAGGGAGAGGGAGAACUCCCCCAGCAUUCCUAAAGGUAAGGAGGCUGGGGCUUAAAUAAAAAAAAAAAAGUGAGUGUUAAUGUGAGUGAGUGUGUUUGUCUGAUAGUGUGUGUCUGUCUGUUAUUGUGUGUCUGUUAGUGUGUGUGUCUGUCUGUUAGUGUGUCUGUUAGUGUGUGUGUGUGUCUGUUAGUGAGUGUCUGUUAGUGUGUGUGUGUCUGUUAGUGAGUGUGAGUGUGUGUGUCUGUUAGUGAGUGUGUGUUUGUCUGUUAGUGAGUGUGAGUGUGUGUGUGUGUCUGUUAGUGAGUAUUUGUUUCUGUCAGUGAAUGUGUGUGUGUAUUUAGAAUGAGGGGCAGGGGGAAGGGUUGGGUGAGGGUGGCACGCUCUGGGGGGCGCCUGAGUUUUGUCCUGCCUAGGGCUACACCACUGACUGCACCAACAUAAUUUUGGUCAGUUUCGUGGUGAUUUGAAGAAGCAGUGGGCCCCUUUGUGUCAGAGGGAGGGCCAGAUUUUUAAAAUUUGUAAUCUGUGGUGCAGAUAGAGUAAUUAGCAUCAGUGAAAGCUGUAGGCCAUACUCAUGAUUUUUUUUUCUUUGAUUGGCUGCAAGGCUGAGAUGUGGCGGCAUAUUUUUCAUGGCCAUGUCUGAUGCAGAUGCCAUGUGUGAGAGAAUAAAGGAGAAUUUAAUCCCUUUUUAAGUUUACCUGCCACCACCUGCAUCACCAAUAAUGAACUGCAUUCCUGGCAUACUAACUCCCAACUCAAUUUCAUAACUCACAAACUGAGAAAGUGUAUUACGGACCUUUGCGGACCCCCAGAAACUCAAAUUGCAUGUUUUAUUAAGAUGUCGAGGUGGCUGGUAAAAAAAAUAGAGCCAGAUCAAUGUGUCGAAUCAAGAUGUGCUUCAGGACAGAAAUGUGUUUCUCUGGCAAUUUAUAUCAAUGUACAUUAUGAUUCUGCUGCAGGCAAAUGUGCACAGUUUUGAAGUGUCCAUGAAGGUAAUGGAGCAGGCCAAGUUUAUAUUUCCACAUUCAAUACCAAUUGUCAUAUACCAUAAAAUUCUGAACAUUAAUUAUCAGACAUUCUUAGCACUACGCUGUCUAAUUCCUUGGCUGAAAUAAGACGGUACCUAUCAUUGUGGUGCAGUACGAGCAAAUGGUUCGAGACUGAGCCAGUGCAGGCUGGAUACUUUACAAAAGGAUAGAUUCUAAUAAAUGUCACACAAAUUAUAUCUUAUCCACUUCCUCAACUACAGAAUAAGCUUUUUGUUAUUUAUAAACUACUAAUGAUUGGAUGGUCUGAAGGAGAAGAAACAAUGAAUCGGAAAUUACAGAGUUAAAGGAUGUACCAUCGGGACAUGAUACAGCCCAGAGCAAAGUUUAAAUGUUAAUGCCUGAUUUAAGUAUUUUACUUCCUAGCUAAAAUUGUCUUUAAGUUUGCAAGCGCUAGUGAACAAAGCUCUUUAUACUAUCUUUCCCUCUCUAUAUUACCGUCACAAAUGUGUACACUUUUGUCUGUAUUCUAAUGUUUAAAAGGAUAGGUGCUACAAUUCACGUCCAUUCUGUAGAUAAAAUAAUAUAUUAUACACUUAUAUGGUUACCAUGCGCUGCAAAAAAAAAAAAAACUAAUUUGCAUGAGACGGUGAAGUGAAAUGCCUCAUAAUUGAUAGGUGCAAAAAUAUUAAUUAAAUCCUCAACUCACCUAUAGAAACCAGAAUUUAAAGCAGUUUUGUCACUUUUGAUGAUCUUUGCAUAUUUUGCACGGCACGUUACCUCAUUAAAUGACAGCGAGGCUCACUCCGUGUCACAUUACCUCAUUAAAUGACAGCGAGGCUCACUCCACGUCACAUUACCUCAUUAAAUGACAGCGAGGCUCACUCCAUGUCACAUUACCUCAUUAAAUGACAGCGAGGCUCACUCCAUGUCACAUUACCUCAUUAAAUGUCAGCGAGGCUCACUCCAUGUCACAUUACCUCAUUAAAUGACAGCGAGGCUCACUCCACGUCACAUUACCUCAUUAAAUGACAGCGAGGCUCACUCCACGUCACAUUACCUCAUUAAAUGACAGCGAGACUCACUCCACGUCACAUUACCUCAUUAAAUGACAGCGAGGCUCACUCCACGUCACAUUACCUCAUUAAAUGACAGCGAGACUCACUCCACGUCACAUUACCUCAUUAAAUGACAGCGAGGCUCACUCCACGUCACAUUACCUCAUUAAAUGACAGCGAGGCUCACUCCACGUCACAUUACCUCAUUAAAUGACAGCGAGGCUCACUCCACGUCACAUUACCUCAUUAAAUGACAGCGAGGCUCACUCCACGUCACAUUACCUCAUUAAAUGACAGCGAGGCUCACUCCAUGUCACAUUACCUCAUUAAAUGACAGCGAGGCUCACUCCACGUCACAUUACCUCAUUAAAUGAUAGCGAGGCUCACUCCAUGUCACAUUACCUCAUUAAAUGACAGCGAGGCUCACUCCACGUCACAUUACCUCAUUAAAUGACAGCGAGGCUCACUCCACGUCACAUUACCUCAUUAAAUGACAGCGAGGCUCACUCCACGUCACAUUACCUCAUUAAAUGACAGCGAGGCUCACUCCACGUCACAUUACCUCAUUAAAUGACAGCGAGGCUCACUCCACGUCACAUUACCUCAUUAAAUGACAGCGAGGCUCACUCCACGUCACAUUACCUCAUUAAAUGACAGCGAGGCUCACUCCACGUCACAUUACCUCAUUAAAUGACAGCGAGGCUCACUCCACGUCACAUUACCUCAUUAAAUGAUAGCGAGGCUCACUCCACGUCACAUUACCUCAUUAAAUGAUAGCGAGGCUCACUCCACGUCACAUUACCUCAUUAAAUGACAGCGAGGCUCACUCCACGUCACAUUACCUCAUUAAAUGACAGCGAGGCUCACUCCACGUCACAUUACCUCAUUAAAUGAUAGCGAGACUCACUCCACGUCACAUUACCUCAUUAAAUGACAGCGAGGCUCACUCCACGUCACAUUACCUCAUUAAAUGACAGCGAGGCUCACUCCAUGUCACAUUACCUCAUUAAAUGACAGCGAGACUCACUCCACGUCACAUUACUUCAUUAAAUGACAGCGAGGCUCACUCCAUGUCACAUUACCUCAAUAAAUGACAGCGAGGCUCACUCCACGUCACAUUACCUCAUUAAAUGACAGCGAGGCUCACUCCACGUCACAUUACCUCAUUAAAUGACAGCGAGGCUCACUCCACGUCACAUUAUCUCAUUAAAUGACAGCGAGACUCACUCCACGUCACAUUACCUCAUUAAAUGACAGCGAGGCUCACUCCGUGUCACAUUACCUCAUUAAAUGACAGCGAGGCUCACUCCACGUCACAUUACCUCAUUAAAUGACAGCGAGACUCACUCCACGUCACAUUACCUCAUUAAAUGACAGCAACUCACUCCACGUCACAUUACCUCAUUAAAUGACCUUGGCCGAGGCUCACUUACGUCACGUACCUCAUUAAAUGUCAGCGAGGCUCACUCCACGUCACAUUACCUCAUUAAAUGACAGCGAGGACUCACUCCACGUCACAUUACCUCAUUAAAUGACAGCGAGGACUCACUCCAUGUCACAUUACCUCAUUAAAUGACAGCGAGGCUCACUCCACGUCACAUUACCUCAUUAAAUGACAGCGAGGCUCACUCCACGUCACAUUACCUCAUUAAAUGUCAGCGAGGCUCACUCCACGUCACAUUACCUCAUUAAAUGACAGCGAGGCUCACUCCACGUCACAUUACCUCAUUAAAUGACAGCGAGGCUCACUCCACGUCACAUUACCUCAUUAAAUGACAGCGAGGCUCACUCCACGUCACAUUACCUCAUUAAAUGACAGCGAGGCUCACUCCACGUCACAUUACCUCAUUAAAUGACAGCGAGGCUCACUCCACGUCACAUUACCUCAUUAAAUGACAGCGAGGCUCACUCCACGUCACAUUACCUCAUUAAAUGACAGCGAGACUCACUCCACGUCACAUUACCUCAUUAAAUGACAGCGAGGCUCACUCCAUGUCACAUUACCUCAUUAAAUGACAGCGAACUCACUCCAUGUCACAUUACCUCAUUAAAUGUCAGCGAGGCUCACUCCACGUCACAUUACCUCAUUAAAUGACAGCGAGGCUCACUCCACGUCACAUUACCUCAUUAAAUGUCAGCGAGGCUCACUCCACGUCACAUUACCUCAUUAAAUGACAGCGAGGCUCACUCCAUGUCACAUUACCUCAGCGAGGGCGUCACAUUACCUCAUUAAAUGACACGUCACAUUACCUCAUUAAAUGACAGCGAGGCUCACUCCACGUCACAUUACCUCAUUAAAUGUCAGCGAGGCUCACUCCACGUCACAUUACCUCAUUAAAUGUCAGCGAGGCUCACUCCACGUCACAUUACCUCAUUAAAUGACAGCGAGGCUCACUCCACGUCACAUUACCUCAUUAAAUAACAGCGAGGCUCACUCCACGUCACAUUACCUCAUUAAAUGACAGCGAGGCUCACUCCAUGUCACAUUACCUCAUUAAAUGUCAGCGAGGCUCACUCCAUGUCACAUUACCUCAUUAAAUGUCAGCGAGGCUCACUCCACGUCACAUUACCUCAUUAAAUAACAGCGAGGCUCACUCCACGUCACAUUACCUCAUUAAAUGACAGCGAGGCUCACUCCACGUCACAUUACCUCAUUAAAUGACAGCGAGGCUCACUCUAUGUCACAUUACCUCAUUAAAUGACAGCGAGGCUCACUCUAUGUCACAUUACCUUAGUAAAUAGCAUUUAAAUGUAUCACAGGUAAAUGUGUUACAGUAAGUAGUGAAUAAAUAGGUUUAUUUUUAUUCACAUUUAACUUAAUUGUCUCUAGCUGCUAGAUCAAAGUUAAUAUUAGUAGAAAUAAACAGAUAUGAUACAUUAAUAACAAAAUAAAGUAAACAUUCAAGGUUAAAAUCUAGAUCAAGUAAUUUUUCAUAUGUAUCUCAUAUGAAUUUGCUUUAAUGGUUGGAGUACAUUUUGUUACAGGGCAUCCCAAUCUCAGCCUAAACUAGAGAUAUUACCUUUAAAACUGUGUUGGCCAUUCAGAGAAGAGGUUCAUAAAUAUUCCUCCUAAUUCAUCAUAUCCUCCCGCCCGUGUCUGUUACACCGAGAACUAUGAUGUUAAACAGAAGAUUUAGAAACACUCUGCCUGAAGCAGUGAGAUCUCUCAGUCUGAUGUAAUAUAGGAACGGUGGUCUCUUACUGUAGCCAUGGGGUCUAUGAGAAUGUUAUAAGAUGGCGCCAUCCUGUGACACUGAGGGACAUCAACGUUUUCCUAAAUUCCCUUUAUCGGCCAAUUACCAUGGAUAAACUAGGACAGUGCCUGGCAGGAAGAUUAAACCCAUGGCAUUCCAGCUGUUUAAUAGAGUAAAAGUCAAAUAGCAGAUUGGCAUUGGUUGCUAACUUUGUAGAACUGCAACUCCCAUGUUGCUAUGCUAUCCUUUAAAAAUAACAAACUGUUCUCGGAGAUGUAGUUCUAAAACAUGUGGUAAACUAUAUUGACAAAGACUGGUAUUAAUUAUUUUCCAGUGGGCGAAUAGGCUGCUGUUUCAUGGAGUGCUAGCUCUGUAGCACAGAUCCCUGGAGUUCUAUAUUUACCUUUAGCACAUAUUCGCACUGUAUUCUAUGUAACAAGGGGUUCUGUAACAAGGGGUUCUAUGUAACAAGGGGUUCUAUUUCUUCUAUUCCACUUGGUUCUCUGUAUGUUGUACAGGGUCUCACGGGUUUCUGUCUCCUGCACAGAGUUCCAGUGGGUUCUAUCUGUCUGUAGCUCAGUUUCACAGGGCUCUAUCUCUGUAGCAGAGUUCCAGUUGGUUAUAUGUACGUUCUGUGUCUUGCACAGAGUUUCACCGGGUUCUGUCUCCUGCACAAAGUUCCACUUGGUUCUUUUUAUGUUGCACAGAGUUCCAGUGGGUUCUAUCUAUCUCAUGCACAGAUUUCAUAGGAUUCUAUCUGUCUGUAGCUCAGUUUCACAGGGCUCUAUCUCUGUAGCAGAGUUCCAGUGGGUUCUCUCUAUCUCAUGCACAGAUUUCCAUAGGGUUCUAUCUGUCUGUAGCUCAGUUUCACAGAGCUCUAUCUCUGUAGCAGAGUUCCAGUGGGUUCUCUCUGUCUCAUGCACAGAUUUCCAUAGGGUUCUAUCUGUCUGUAGCUCAGUUUCACAGGGCUCUAUCUCUGUAGCAGAGUUCCAGUGGGUUCUCUCUAUGUUCACUGGGUUCUAUCAGUAUAGUGGUUUUAUUUAGCAAUACAUUCACUGGGUCAGAUGGUGACCGUGUUGUGAGUAUGCGUUUUUAAUGACAUAGAACAGCAGCGAGCUAGGAGUGAAGUAAUAUGAAACACUGUCUAUUACUCUGCAAGAAUGUGUUUCACCUCGUUUCGGGGCCCCCUGCUGGUUUAUUCGGGAACUGUUAGCACCCUCCUACACCUCCCUCACAUAACCCCGCCCCCUAAUGGGCGGAGCCAUCAGGACUGAGCAGCCGCGGGAACAGCUGUCAAUUUAAAAGGGGCCGGAUCUUCUGUGUAAACAGAAGCACAUGGCUAGUCAGCACCGGGUGUCACGUGACCUGAGCAGGACGGCCAAUCAGGACGCAGCAAAUGGUGACAGCUCGUGGGAUGCAGGAGCAGCUGCUCUGUGAGUCCUAGUGCAAGGUCAGACCAUCUCCAUCAUAAUAAUAAUAAUAAUAAUAAUAAUAAUUAAUAUAUAGAGCAAGGUCAGACCAUCUCCAUCAUAACAAUAAUAAUAAUAAUAAUAAUUAAUAUAUAGAGCAAGGUCAGACCAUCUCCAUCACAAUAAUAAUAAUAAUAAUUAAUAUAUAGAGCAAGGUCAGACCAUCUCCAUCAUCAUAAUAAUAAUAAUAAUAAUAAUUAAUAUAUAGAGCAAUGUCAGACCAUCUCCAUCAUAAUAAUAAUAAUAAUAAUAAUUAAUAUAUAGAGCAAUGUCAGACCAUCUCCAUCAUAAUAAUAAUAAUAAUAUAGAGCAAGGUCAGACCAUCUCCAUCACAAUAAUAACAAUAAUAAUUAAUAUAUAGAGCAAUGUCAGACCAUCUCCAUCAUAAUAAUAAGAUUAAUUAAUAUAUAGAGCAAUGUCAGACCAUCUCCAUCAUAAUAAUAAUAAGAUUAAUUAAUAUAUAGAGCAUUGUCAGACCAUCUCCAUCAUAAUAAUAAUAAUUAAUAAUUAGUGCAAGGUCAGACCAUCUCCAUCAUAAUAACAAUAAUAAUAACAAUAAUAAUUAAUAAUUAAUAAUUAGAGCAAUGUCAGACCAUCUCCAUCAUCAUCAUCAUAAUAAUAAUAAUAAUAAUACUACAAAUAAUAAUAUAUAGAGCAAUGUCAGACCAUCUCCAUCAUAAUAAUAAUAAUUAAUUAAUAUAGAGAGCAAGGUCAGACCAUCUCCAUCAUAAUAAUAUUAAUAAUAAUAAUUAUUAAUAAUUAGAGCAAGGUCACACAAUCUCCAUCAUAAUUAUAACAAUAAUUAAUAAUUAUAGCAAGGUCAGACCAUCUCCAUCAUAAUUAUAACAAUAAUUAAUAAUUAGGGCAUAGUCAGGCUAUCUCCAUCAUAAUAAUAACAAUAAUUAAUAAAUAGAGCAAGGUCAGGCUAUCUCCAUCAUAAUAAUAACAAUAAUUAAUAAUUAGUGCAUAGUCAUGCUAUCUCCAUCAUCAUAAUAACAAUAAUUAAUAAAUAGAGCAAAGUCAGGCUAUCAUCUCCGUAGUAAUAAUAAUAAUAAUAAUGACAAUUAUAAUGCAGCCACUGCAUUCUUUAUACACUCAUUUCAAGUUUCAGAAUAAUCCAGGAAACACAGAGGAAUGUGAAUACUUUUUCACAGCUUUUUCUCUCCUGUUCAUGCCCUGCUUUGACAUGUUUCAUGAUGAGAUAAUAAGUCCCAUUCUCCCAAACUAAGGUUGGCUGGCAUCAAGUGAUACAAGUUUGAAAAUGCUGCCUGGUUAUGAUAUUGGGGUAUUUGCCUAUCGGGAUUGCACGCAAGAGAUCUAUAUCUUAUGCAAUCUGUUUUUCUAUACACUCCCCCCCACCCCCUAAAGUCACAAUUAAAUGCAUACCUGUUUUUAUUGGGGGUAUAUGUACUAAACUGUUUUUUUUGUUUGUUUUUUUAACAUUGAAAUGUUUCUUUAAGGAAUUGUUAAUAUUGGUUAAGGGCACAGAGAUCAGUCUCAAACAUUACCAUAUAACCCAGUUGUCAUGGUAAAAAGCCCUGAAUCAGAUAUCCUUGAGUCUGAGACAUGUUGAACGGUUAUAGCUGGAUUGACCUAAGGUGACCUAUCCUAGCGUUUAUGGUUUAGGAGUCUGAUGGGUACCACUAGGGCAGCACAAAACCUAAAUGUGCCACUGGGUACCAGGACAUCAUAGAGAUGCUUAGCCAACCAUGGACUCAUUCACCAACCCUAUACUUAGAGUGAAAGAAAGAUCUCAGUUGACUCAAAACUAAUGUGCGGUUGUUAGAUAUGUCAUUCCAAUGUUAUUGCAACUUGUUGUUGGAAUUAAAAGAUGCUGAGAGCAUACUGUGAAGGCAAAAACCAAAGCAAAGAAAUAAUAGUUUAUCAGUAUAUUUGCUGGCAGCUUGCCUUGCACUAUGUAGGUUAAACACAAUGUGAGGUAGGCGAAUGUGUGUGUGUUUUAAUAAAUAUUUCUCAUUUAAUCUGUUUUUAAAGUGUAAUUCUAAACAAAGAAAGAAAAUGCAUGUGCACGUAAAUCACUGGAAAUUAUACAGUUUAUCACACAGCGAGCUGUAGAAAAGGCCUCCUAGUACAUAUUUUAACACAUGGUGGAUGUGCCCUAAAUUAUGCCCUCUGUGGAACAAGAUUCUUUACCACUUAUGCUUUAAUGUCCACUAGACCAAGGAUUGUCUGGUGAUAGAAACGAAUCAAAGACUUUCUAUCUGCACCAGAACUGAUCAAUCCAUCUGUAUUUAUCUGUGGAGUCUUGUUCAAUGAGGAAAUCCCGACAGACCAAUUUGUUCAGGCGUAAAUGAAAAGGCAUUUGUUUCGUUCAUACCUGCUGAAACGCAUUUGUGCAAACGUCUAAUGUCCACAGUACACAAACUAUUGAAAUGGAGUUCCACUUGAUAUCAUUAUUGGAAUGAUGAUGCCAAUGUAUCAGUUUUGGGACCAUAUGACUCUGUACAUUGAGAUGUACCUAUGCGAACCCAUAUACUUCAAUCACUGAGGUGCAUCUUUACUUUAUAUUUGUUUUAUCAUUGGAUACUUCAUUAAUGAAGAAUGAAUUGAAUAAAACCUGUGUCUGUGGAGAGAAGUUGUUCAAUAAAUAUAAUUUAGCAGUCCUCUUAUUUACUAUAAAUGAGAAUUCUAUGUAUAUCAGUUCUGUUGUGUUGCAUAGAUUAAGCCCCCAUGCAAACCCUCCAAAGUAUACAAAACACAACGAGGGAACCGGCUGAUUGUCUAAAUGAAGAUAAAUAAAAAGAGGUAUAGUGUAAUACAGUUUUAAAAUAUUAAUACUGCGCAAUAUGAAAUGCACUCACAGGAUAUUGGACAGUUCAGGCAUAUAUGGUGCCACCCCUGAUGAUAAGGGGGGCUAGAGAAAUCCCCUGGACACUUCCACUCAAAAUGCAGGACUCCAGGUGAAGAUAUGAAAAAAGCGGCUUUAAUUGUUUAAAAAUAUAAAAUAGAUACAGAUAAAGGUCCUACGCGUUUCGUCCCUUCUACAGAAUAUGGGACUUCCUCAGGGACCAAAAUAUUCAAUAUUAAAAUAACAAUCAAUGCAGUACAAUCACAAAAAAACCCUCCAAAGUGUCUUCAUGCAUUUUAUAUAAAUAUUUAUAUUUUUUUAAACAAACUUUUUUAUUUAUUUCGAUGAUUGAUAUCUUUUCUUUUUUUUUGUUCCUAUUAAUAAUCCUUACUCUUCAAGAUAGCGAAUGUUAAUCCUACAUAAUAAACAGUGACAUCUAUGCCGUAGCUCUGGAUUUAAAUCCCGACAAUCACGCACAUGUCUGUGUUUUGCUCUUGCAACUUUGUUAUAUAUUAAUAUUUUGUCCUUUUAUGCCUGGUGCGCAGUGCUCUUAAUGUGCAGAGUCUCACACAGUCAUUGUGCAUCUCCCUUUGAAACUCUGCUGCACACCUGCUCAACACAAGUGGCUGAAUACUUAUUGUAACAAGGCCCGAGUAUCUGCUUGUAACAGCUGCCCUACAUUUUAUUUUCCUUUCAUAAUGGGAACAGUCGUCAUGGCAACAAAGCCUAUACAGAGACAGAUUUGUGAGCGCACUCCAAUAUGUAAAUAAGAAAUUAAGAGAAGUUUCACUUAUGUUGGCACUGUAGACCCCCUCCUUGUUACUAUAAUAAUUAGUACUUGCCAACCCAUAUAACCACAGAAAUAACUCACAUUAUUUAAUUUCAUGCCUGAUUAUAGGGUAUGGUGCACUGUGCACCCUAGCGCAGUUUCAGAAAAUAACCCUUUAAAUUCUGGUCAAGAUGUUAAAGGAGAAUUUUUGUUCAUUCAAUUUGGAUUAAAAGAAGGGUUAAAGUUUCAGCGUUUUGAAACAGUGUUGAAUCUCACGCAAACAGAUCAUUAGGAAACUUUGACUGUACUGUGUUCACCAUCGCACGGGCUCUUGGCUGAUAAUAAAAACAUGUUGUGGCAAGAAUGCACUUCUUUUUCUGCUAAAAACUAGUUCAUAGUUGAGCAAUCAUUGUAUCUUUGCAUUUGUUGUAGCAUUAUCAGGUUAAUAUUACCUGGCAGCAGUUUCAUUCAACUUGGUCCAUUUAGUAUGAUGGAAUUUGGAGAAUCACAAUGCUGUGGUGAAAAAUGUUGUGAUGCCCACAAGGUGCCCAUGUCAGUUGAGUGGCAGUAAUGUUUCUGGACCAGCCAUUUUACUUGACAAUACUUUGAUAGCCAGAUUAAUUCUGAUAAACUGAAACAACAUAUCUUAAAUACACCAGUGACUGUUUGUGAUAAACAGAAUCUCUGCAGAACAGUAGAACCUUGUAUGAACCAAUUCCUUUUGUAAGAUUCUACUUAAUUGUUUAGAUCAUAUGUCUGCAGUUAGUGCUCUUAAAAUCUACUAUAAUCACUACUAUAAAGUAUAAAUCAAUAUAAGAAAAUUUCAAUUCUUCAUCUAGCAAACCAUAUCAGACAGUUCGCCAUGUUACUGUACCCAUUUUCCAAUUAAACAGAACAAAUUAAAGCUUAAUUCAAGAAAAAAAAACUAGACAUACAUCAUGCAUAGUCUUGAAAGGGCAUAUACAUGCACAUUAUAAAAAAUGUAACAAUGGUACACACAUAUAUAUUGACAUGACAUGAGUGAAACUCCAUCAUCCUCAAUGAAGAUUAUAAAAUCUGUUUAGGACUGCUCCUAAGUGCCGAUGUGGUUGUGUGUCCAGGAAAGUGUCCCCAAUACGGGGAGGGAGACUUCUUAUCAAGACGGCAAACCAUGUAUACCCCAUAAAAUACCCUCUUUAAAGGUAGUAAUUAAAAAUUACAUUGAAAAGAAAAGGAAGAAAUCCCACGGCGAGACCAGUGACUGCUUAAUUUCAAUUUCACUCUCUUCUUAACCUAGUGGUUUCCAAACCAGUCCUUACGGCACGCCUACCAGUCCGGGAUUAAGGGAUAACCCAGUUAUAUCUAAGGUGUUUUAAAAACAAAACAAACUAAAAAAAAACACCUUGGCACAAUUGGGUAAUUUCCAAACCGGUCCUAGAAAUGCCUUUAGGACCGGUUUUGAAACCACUGUCUUACCCUUCAUCUUCUCCUAUGGGGCCCAAACCGACUGCCUGCAUAGUGUUAUGUAUCAUAGCUGUGAGCUUAUCAAUGAGAUCAUUUUCUCUUAUUUUUACUUUGACUUUCAUCAGACUGGGAACAAUGCAUAUUACUGAGCUUUUUUUUAAUACUUCUUACUAAGUGUAUGCAGUUCUGUGGAUUCUGUUGAAACUAUACAUUUUAUUAAGAGAUCAUAAUAACUCUGGACAAGACACAUUAUUACUAUUACCGUACUUUAUACAUGGCUUGAUGUUCUGAAAAUUGUAUUGCAUGCAUUCUGCAGAAAACAAACUAUUUCUCAGUUGAAAAAGUUUAUUUUUCCUUUUGUAUUCUAAACAUUAUUAGGUGAUCCAUUAAACAUUUAUUUCUUGCUCUGUUAGUUCAUUUGCUAUUUUUUACUUAUCAAACUUUAAAAGUCUAUAAAAGGGGGAAAGGGACUGACUGCCAAGAUGGCCAGUCGUGUUUGUUACCAGCUCCUGCACAUCUGAGUUAAACCUGCACCUUCACUAAAAUCGACUGAAACUCAGCCUGGAGCACAUGGUGAAACCAUACUAAAGUGAGUGGGCACUUCAGGGUGUCCUUUAUCUUGACCUGCAUUGUGGAAAUCCGCUGUCCGAACACGCGGCCUAGUAUUACUAGUGGCCUGGUGAAUGUGGGAGACGGCCGAUCUCCCAAAACGCUUAUUGUGAGCUCUCAUAAUUUGUUGGCCCUGACACAUCUAAGAUCCUCAUGUUGAGAGAUAGCAGCAACAGAAUCAAACUGCAAAUGGGGCACCGUGAACCAGACCUUUACUUUAGCUCUUUUUACAUGAUCGAAUGAUGCAAUGACACACGGCCUCAAGAAACCAAAUAAAAUUGUGGGACAAUGUGCGAAAAGGGCUGUACAUAUCUUCAUAGUUCAUUGUGUAUGCAAAUAUUAUAACUUGCAUGUAAUCCUAUAUUACAGUUUGCCACUCCACAUGUAAUUAUAUUUAUUAGAGAUGAAUCAUUAAUCUAGUAGUUUUUGGAAUUUUGUUUUCUUACAUUAAUCACUUUUUUCCCCUCCAACAUUUAUUUUAUAAUUUUUUUUUUUUAUGUAGUGGUGAAAUUGAGAAAUCUACCCUAAUAUUUGAUUAAUUGGUAAUUAAAAACAUUUCAGAAUCCCAUCAUUUGCUGCUUUUAAGAUAUGCGACUGUGCUCUUGUUGAAUCGAGUGCGCACACUAUGUAAAUAAGUCUCCCUGCAAAUGCGUAUCUAUCUCACUAAUUAAACUGUUUCUCAUUUCACAGGUUGCUCAAUGAAUCUGUAUUUUAUCACAUUCGAGUGGGAAGGUUAAUGGAGGUGCUCACCUGUGCAACCAAUCAACAUGGGUGAAAAAUCCUCUUUCUGCAUUGUUUCUUUGUUAAUUACCUUCACAGAAGACAGAGGAGUCCAUUAGGACAACACCGAGAGAUGUCUAAUGAGUCACAUGGGGUACUGUUAAUCACCCAGAUAGUCUUAAAGUGCCCUAACAUGUAAAAAAAACUACCUAAUAUUCUCUUCAGUUGCAAGAGCAGAAAUCAUAUUAAGUGUAUA
rnacentral:lncRNA from 1 species